rnacentral:lncRNA from 1 species
UUUUUUUUUUUAGGUUUAUAACCCACUGAAAACUCAUUGAAAGAAUUUUUUUCUUAAGAAACACUAUGAGAAAUGCAAGAACUAUAUGAGAAUUUUUUUUUUGUAAUUUCUUAUUUGAAGAGAGAAAAGUAAAAAAUGGGCAAAAAAGAGUAAGAAAAUAUUGUAACUGAAGAAGGAAGGAAGAAUAAUUGUGUUGUUUCUGGUACCAAAGUGAGGAAAACUACUAAAAAUACCCAAAUCUGCUCUUCAGAGCAGUCGAACCUGCGACAAGGUGGUAAUAAUUUGGUCAAGUUGCCAACUGAACCAAGGCUUCUCAUUGUUUUCAUGGGUACUUAUUUACUACAUAUAGGAUUUCUGUCUAGGCUUCAGCCCAGACAGCCCUUAACGUAGAUCCGCCCAGGAGCAGCCUCGAUAUAUAAUUCUAUUUACAUAAGAGCAGCCUCAUUAUAUAAUUCUAUUUAGACAAACUGACAAAGAAAACUAUUGGUUUUGACUUCAUGGAAUUAUUAACAAUAAUAUUCCAAUAAUGCUGUCUUGAUGAAGACGUUGGUAUUCGUCCAAAAAAACAAAAAAAAAACAAAAAAAUGAAGACGUUGGUAGAAAACAAAAGAUGCCGAUCGAACAAAGACAGAUAAGGAAACUGGGGAUUGAAAGGAACUAUAUAGCUUAGCUAUGGAGGCGGUAAAAGCAAAGAAAAAGAGAGUAGCCGGAUUAAUAAUACGUACAGCGCCGGGCAUACGAGGCCAAGGGCCAUGGUCGAAGGCGGCGCGUGCAGCUUUCACCGCCACGUCCACGUCUUCCUUAUCUCCCUCUGCAAUUCUGGUUAUCACCUCCCCGGUUCUGGGAUCUAUCGUCUCAAACGUUUUACCUUAAACAAACAAAAACCAAUAUCAAUAUCAUGAAUGUGUUUAGAUAUUGUUGCCCCCCUAAAAGAACGCAACGAUACAGAGAAGAUCAACAUAUAUGAUCCUUACGACGAAAUGGUACGUAGUAAAAGAGAUGUUCAUGAGGAGUUAAUAAUACACAAGCAGUAUACCUGAAAUGGCGUCGACGAAUUCUCCAUUGAUGAAGAGCUUGGUGAACUUUAUGGUUGGCAUCAUCUUCACGAAGGAGGACUCGCAGGGUGCAGAGCUGCCAUUACUAUCACCACCCAUAUCUUCUGCGCUUCUCUCUGUGUUUCUUGCUUCUCUCUCUCUCACUCGAUCGAGCUUGUGUUUGUUAAUUUGUUUCGUCUAGAAUGAAGCAGAUUUUGCAGUAUUUAUAUAGUGAAAAUAGGAGGAGGGCGAAGCCCAACGUAUUCGUUAGGACGUGGGGUCAACUAUGAUACAUAUAAGGUAUGCCAUCUAGAGAGCAAUCUCUGAAUUGAUGGUCCAUGGUAUGCUACGUCUCAAUAUAUCAUAAAAUCAUCAUAAAAUUGGAUUUUGUGCUAAUUUUUUUUCUCUCGAUGUGUUGGAUUUUGUAUUUUGGUCUGUAUUAUAUAUAUAUAUAUACACACACACAGCUUCUCAGCUGCGGACGUCCGCAUUUAUUCUUACGGUGCGGAUUUCCACUUUACAUUCAUUUUUCAAUCGAAUUUUCGCAUCUCCACCGUCUAGUAUUUAGAUACUAAUAUAUAGAUCAUCUCUGUAAAAUUUCAGCCAAUUUGGUUAUCAUUAAGGCACUCAAAACUGCCUUUUUAUGUUAUAAACAUGAACGGUUCAAGUUCGACAGAAUUAUGUUCAUCAAUUGGUUUAAUCGAGUUUGAGUGUCUUAAUGAUAACUAAAUUGGCUGAAAUUUUGAAGAGAUGAUCUAUACAUUAGUAUCUAAAGACUAGACGAUGGAGAUGUGAAAAUUCGAUUGAAAAGUGAGUGUAAAAUGGAAAUCUGCACCGUAAGAAUAAAUGCGGACAUCCGCACCUGAGAAAAUCUGUAUAUAUAUAUAUAUAUAUUUGUUGGGUAAUAUAAUAAACAACUGUGUAAAUUUGUGAGAAGAAAUUAAAAGAAAAAUUCUACCAACUCCUCUUCUUCAUUUCCUAGAUAGAAAUUUACUACUGGAGGCAUCCACAGGUGCUGCGGCGAUGGCAUUCCUCCAGCGGAUUUAGGGGUUGUGUGUUGUGCAUUGGCAACAACCAAUGAAGUUGGUGGUUUGUAAAAAUGCAAAUGGGAAUGCUCGACUAGGCGUCUAGGCUCGACUUGUCUUUCACAGGAGGAAAGAAGAUUAAUGGAGAAUCCAUAAAUACGGUUGCAUUAUUAUGGUUUCAUUAGUGUUCUAAUCCAUAUGGCGUUUAGCCGAAAACUAUACAAUUAUUGAAUGACAACUACGAUGUAAGUGCAUCAAAUCACUAAAAGGUAGAAAAACGAAUGUUCUAACUUCUAAGAGAUGUAACAUGCGGAAAUUUGAUGUAAGAAAUGUAAAAAGAAGUUUUUUUUUCUUUCCAAAUUAAGGGAAGGUGGGUAUAUCCAAUGUUCUUCUAUCCAAUUUUGUUAUCAUGCAAAGAGAUCCCCCGUGUUAAAACCACAACACAAGUUGAAGCAAGAACCACCUUCACCUCUUUUGCAUGUGAAUGUGAUCUCUCCGAUCGAGUUCAUUUUGGUUCCUCUAUAAACCUACAAAUGCAUUGAAAUUUGCACAAGAACAUGAUGUAGGAUGAGAAUUGGCCAAAUUUAGACAGAAAAAAUAAAAGUCAAGAAGCGGUAAAUAAUAAAAAAGAAUGAUCUAAAGAUCGGUAAUUCUCGUGUCAAGAGGUUGCUAGCCGCUGGAAUAUUCAAGAAGAUGUUGUUUUGGAUUUUCCGGGUUGCUCAUGCGAAAUCUGAAUUUCAGAAGCAAAUCUGAUCUAGAGUAACUUUUGACCAAAAUGUCUGUUUAAAACGCAUAAUACCUUCCGGAAUAGGAACGACGAGAUCUACAAGACUCACUUUAAUGAGCCAUGUCAGAUUAAGGCCAAAAGAUAUCGUUUUAUUAAUCCGAUUGGGCAUUUAAUAUUAUUUUAGGUUUUUUAGUUUAUUUUGGGUUUUGUUCUCUUUUAACCUAAUGAACUUUUAAGCUUGGUUGUUAGUUGCCCUAGGGUUUGUUUGCUCUAUAUAAGGACAUUUUAUCAGUUGUAGUCAUAAGCUUUUGAUUAAUAAAAACCCUUAAGAUUUUUUCAACUCUUCUGGUGGAUUCUAGGAACUUUCUCGUGGAUUCGAGAAAAUAGACUUGUGAAUUCAAGUCGCCAUUGGUGGAUUUAAACGAUUAUAUUUCUGCUGCAUCAAUUGGUAUUAGAGCAGGUCUAUUCUUGUGGUUAUCAAUCUGUAUUCAUGGGUGAUGAAGCUCAUAUUGCCUGAGCAGAGUUCAAUGCUCAGAAUGAAUGUCUCAGUGCUCAGAAUGAACGUUUGAAUACACAAAUGGAAGAAAUUCAUCAGUUGUUGCUUGGCCUUAACAACAACAACAACCAUCGAAAUUGUGAAAGGCAGAAUCAUGUUGUUAAUCAUGAUUUCAAAACCAUGGUGAGUAUUUCUUAUUUUUCUAGUCACAUGCAUGUGGAAAACCUUCUAGAUUGGCUGGUUGAGGUUGAUAAAUUCAUUGAGAUCAUGAAGGUUCCAGAUCACAAGCAGGUCAAGAAGGUUUCUUCUCGUCUUAAGAGCAUUGUUGCUGAUUUGUGGGAUGAAUUGCAAAGAGCAAGGAAGGUGCAAGGUAAAGAACCUGAUAAAAUAUGGAGAAAGAUGAAAUGUCUUAUUAGAGAAAAUUUAUGCCUAGAGAUUUUUCAAUCAGGAGGUACCCUUCUAAGGUGGAAGAGAAGAAGUUAAAGUCCACAUAAAUUUCUUUUCAUGUUGAGAAUGAUAGUUCAGUUGAAGAAAUUUCAGACGAUUCUUUAAUGGAAGCAGCUCCACAAGAAAUUUUUCAUGAAUUUCCAACAAAAGAAACUCCACUAGAAGUUAUCCAUGAAGAAGUUAGAGAACAAAUUGCACAUAUUGACAUGGUUAUUAGCAUUGAAGAAAGUCAAGAAACCUUGCCGCCUCAAAUUAAUCAUUCAGAACCAGAACCAAAGGCCAUUCAAGAAUGCAAUUUUGAGAGUCAAGAAGAAUCUUCUCAAGUUGCAUAUGACAAACUCAUCUAUAGCGUUGGAUUCAUGAUUGUGUCAUCAGUUUAUGCAGAAGACCAUUCCAAUAAGUCACAGGUUCAUCUGUCUAAUUUAUUAUUGGGUUUUUCGUCUACAUAUUUUUAUUUUUCAUUCAAGAUAAACUCGAGGUUGAGUUCUUUCGUAGUGGAGGAGACUGAUGUAGGACGAGAAUUGACCAAAUUCAUACAGAAAAAAAUAAAAGUCAGGAAGCAGCGAAUAAUAAAAAAGAAUGAUAUGAAAAUCGGUAAUUCUCGUGUCAAGAGGUUGCUAGCCGCUGGAAUAUUCAAGAGGAUGUUGUUUUGGACUUUCCGGGUUGCUUGUGUGAAAUAUGAAUUUCAGAAGCAAAUCUGAUCUAGAGUAACUUUUGACCAGAAUGUCCGUUUAGAAUGCAUAAUAUCUUUCCGAAUUGGGAACGACGAGAUUUACAAGACUCACUUAAGUGAGCCCUGUUAGAUUAAGGCCAAAAGAUAUCGUUUUCUUAAUCCGAUUCGGCAUUUAGUAUUAUUUUAGGUUUUUUAGUUUAUUUUGGAUUUUGUUCUCUUUUAACCUAAUGAACUUUUAAGCUUGGUUGUUAGUUGCCCUAGGGUUCGUUUGCUCCUAUAUAAGGACAUUUUAUCAGUUGUAGUCGUAAGCUUUUGAUUAAUAAAAACCCUUGAAAUUUGCUCAACUCUUCUGGUGGAUUCUAGGAACUUUCUCGUGGAUUUGAGAAAAUAGACUUGUGGAUUCAAGUCGUCGUUGGUGGAUUCUAACGAUUAUAUUUCCGCUGCAUCACAACAAAAUAGAGUUCAUGUCAAUCGUCAAUCAGAACAAAAUAGAGUCAUGUCAAUCGUCAAUUCCUACAGCAUUAGAAAACUAGCUAGGGUGCUCUAUUCUUCAUUUGACAGCGUCGUUUUCAAUUUGUUGGUGCUUUCAACAAGUCAAUAGAGAAUACAAGAACUACAAACAAACAUAAUUGGAACAUGACUCGUUGCAUACUACAUAUUAACACUACCAAAAUAGACGUUCAAUUUUUGGGGUAAUCCAAACGAAAUGGUCCAGUUUGGCCUGUAGAUAUAUAGGAAACCAUGGUUAUUUUCUUUUUCUUCGUUUAUGUAUCACACAUAUAGAGCUGGUUGGUCCAUUGGACUAGUUUAUUUAAUUUGCCAACAAUUCGAUAGAGCAGCCACCGAACCAGAAAGAAGCAAAAGAAAUUAAUAUCAAUGAAAACUAAGAGACAAAAGAUUAAGGGCGAUGGUGGACGAAAGUUCAUGGAGAAUAUCCUCCCACCCAGGUUUGAGUUUGAACGGCCAACAAAAUUGAACAUUCUUGAACAUUUGUUCUAUACGUGUAGCAUUUGCAUUUGAUGUACCGUUCUUCGUUGUAAAGAUAUAAUGAACCAAAUACACGAGACCCCCUGAGCCUCUGAAAGCUUGGUUUCAAUGUUGUGCUACCCACUCGCCGGCGCCGAUUUCAAGUCGUAUAUGACUGAAACUCAUACUGGGAGGAAAAUUCAUUACAGACGACUCGUUGGUCUAUAUCAAAUGAAUAUAAUGAUCAAGGAGCAUAAUUGUUCUUACCUUUCUAACCUUUGGAUUUGUAAGGUGAAAAUAAAAGUGAAAAGAGCAGCAGCAACAGAGUCUACAGUCCAGACUAGGUAAUUCACCGGACAAAAAAGCAUUAUAUGACAAGGGACCCUAGUUACCAACCAUGUAGCUAUGUCUGGAUUGUCUGCAAAAUUAUUGUUGAUAGGGUGGCGGUUGGUAAGACGGUGGUGUCGCAUUUGCAUAAUCGUAUGGCCCUCCAUAACUGGUCUGGCCGCCAUAUGAACCCCCACUUCGGAAUACAGAACUAGCAGCCAUGCUGCUGUCGCCAGAUAGGGAAUAUAUGUGUUGUUGUGGAAGAGCAACAGGGCUUUGAGCACGGGCUACUCCAUAUGAGGUUCCGUAAGAGACUGAUGUUGCACCGUCAUACACGGUUGGGCUUGGGUAAUUGUACGGCCCAGGAUAUCUUGUUACUGGGCUGUGCUGUGGAGGAGGAUUUACGGUUGGGCUUGGGUAAUUGUACGGUCCAGGAUAUCUUGUUACUGGGCUGUGCUGUGGAGGAGGAUUUGGGAUUCUCCGGUUAAAAGAUGAUGGGUGUGCAUUGGAAUACUUGGCAGCUUUUGCUGGGCGGGAAGAUGAUGAUCCAACUCCUCCACGGCCGCCACCGCCGCCUCCACUACCAUACGAACGCUUGUUAUUAGACUUACUGGAAGCUGCAGCUGAAUUCUUCUUUCUAUCUGCUUUGGCUCUCUCUAAAGCAGUGACUCGCUUCCUUAGGGAGUCGAGUGUAAAUUCUGAUUCAAGUUUGUGGUCCUCUACACAUUUGAUAACUGCUCUGAUGGAAUUCAACUCCAAAGUGCUCGACUCCUCCUGUAAGAUGGACCUCCAUUAGGAAAUCUCAAAAUGAGUCUAAGAAAACAUCAAUUGAAGAGCAAAUUCAUCUGAUUAGAUAACAUAGAUAUAGGAUGGAGUUACACUUACAGAUGCAGCCACACUAUUGUUGCCAUUCUUCAUUAUGGUUGAAGCAUUCUUCUUGGAGUUCUUCAAAUAGGACUUGAGAAGGGAAAUAGGAGGAAACCUCUCGGUCAAACCAGACUCAAAAGCAAAAUAUAUUGCCUCUAUCUCCUUUCCAUUCUUCACUAACUCAUCAAUAACAUCUGUACAAAUCACACAGUAUUUCAAUCAGAACAUACAAAACUUAGAUGACAAACGAACAAUGAAUAUGAACACAACAAGACGAGAAAGUUGAAACAAUGAAUCAUCACGCUAUGCUUAUACCAUUCAUAAAAAAUUGGUGACUGACCAGAAUGUAACCGACACAAACAUCCUCCUUCUAAGAGUAGAAGGAAGGACACAUGCAUUUCCUGGCAUUUGGAUCAGAUAAAUCUAUGAUUAUGGAGAGACAAUACUAAGGUGAACAUUUAUAACUUAAGAAAAAGUAUGCAAACACAGAUAAGUUUAAGAAAUAGUGAUCAAGAAACUUAGCCUAGUCAACCUAAUUUACAAUAAUUCUAUCCCACCAAAAUGCCUACACAAGGAUUAGGCGAGUUGAUCAAAGAUCAAAUGACAGAGUUGCUACACUUUUAAGUCUCUUCCAGAUUCAAAACAUCUUCAAGAUUAGAAUUCAGAUUAUGUCAAGCCACCAUGCUCAACAUCUAAGCUUUAUCUCUACGUAUUACGCAACAAUGCUUAUCAGAGGUAAACUUCUUCACUAUAAACAAAUGCCUAAGUUGGUUAAUAGUAAGCUCUAAAGAAAUUAGCAUAUUCAAAAGUUUAUAAAUCUACAUCAGAACUUCAAAUUAGCAAAACCCCUUAACUUACAUUAUAUUCCAACAUGCACACAUUCAAGAAGCAAUAAUCCGAAACAAACACAUUGCUAAACUUUGAUUCUGAUCACACACACACAUACCUCCAAUAUCUCCGAAUUGUAGUGCCCCGGCAAGCUUAGCCAUAUCUCUCCUAGCAGCAUGUUCCAUCACCAACUUCUUAUAAAACUCCUCAUCAUACUUCUCCUUCAACUGAAACCCAAUCACCAUCUGCACAAACAUCACCGCCUCCGCCGCCCCCAAUGUCCCUCCACCACUCCUGCUCAGCUCAUCCAUCUGCCCCUUCCACCUGUCCGCAACGCCCGCCGCUCUCUCCACCACACUCCUAGCAAAUGCCGGCCCUUUCGGACGGGAACCGGACCGCGCCUCCGGAAACAGAGCCUGAAUCAGCAGCCCGCAGGCCCACCGCUUAUCGGUGACCCCAACUUUCUUGGCCUUGGUCUCCAGAAACACCUCCAAAGCAUCCAACACCAGCCUCGGCGCGUCCACCGCCUCCGCCAUUGCCGGAACAAUCUCCGCCCUCAGCGACACCGACUCCUUCCGCUUCGUAACUAUAAACCUCAGCAGCCCCUCCGAGUCCAUUUUUCUACACAGCGAUUUCAGCGUCACGGCGAUGUCCAAAUUCGCCGGAAAUAUUCUUCCGAACUCGGCCAAGGCGGCGUAUUUCUGCUCCGAGACGCGUGCCGCGGCGGAGGCUUCGCGCUCCGCGAGCGAGGUCUCGCGGACGUCGAGGGACUCUAGGGUUUGGCGGGAACGCGACUCGAGGGAUUCGAUUUUGGAGUCGAGGGAUUUGAAUUUCUCGGCGAGCGAUUUCUGGAGGGCGGUGAAGUGAUCGGAGAUGGUGGCGUAGAGCUUCGUGGAGGUGGAGAGGAUCGCCUUCUGCGCCUCUAGGUCGUCGAAGAAUUUCUGGACUCUGUGCGUCGCGACCACCAGUUCGGUCCCCAUUGCUCGUUGAUUUCAAAAACGACGGCGUUUUGAAGUCGCGAAAUUAAAGGAAACCCUAAUCCGGAGGAAGAAGAAGAAGAUCAGUCUCCGAGUGAGUGUGUAGAUAUUUCCCAGCUCUCAGAUUCUUUCCUUUCAGUUACGUUCGGUUUAAACGCUGUCGUUUUCGAUUUUAUAUUUAAUUGCUGAAAUUUAAUAAAAGUUAUAUGGGCGGUGUCACUAAUUACUUUACCGCCUAUGUAACUUACUACAAACGUAGUGUUCGCCUGAUCAGUUGUCGAAUAUUAUUAGCUAAGAUGAUAUCAUCUAACUCGGAGACGAUAUCAUUUAACCUAGAGCAUCAAUACAUCAGCUUCCUUAUAAAAUUUUCGAUGAAUAUAUAAACAAGAUGAAAGAAAAUAGAUAUGAUACUUCUUCCAUAUAAAAAUUACAACUUGAAACUGUGGUCUUGUUCUAUUUUAUAAAGGUGAUUGCGCAUUACCUUGCGUAUGUUAAGCAUCUGCAAAUAAUAUAAUGAUGCUAGUCCCAAAUUCAAGAUCAAAGACCAAAGGGAGUUGCAUAUCAGAUCAAGAAGCCUCGAAAGGAAUCUAUUUUCAGUGCAUUCUGAUCCUUGACACCAGCUAGAUUGUCAAACAUGUCAUUCUAAGGCUUUAUGACACAAAGGAUGAGAUGCUACAUCUCCAUCUGUUAGUUGCUGUUAAGUUUCUGAUGUCUUCGGAGUUGCGAAUAAUUGAGGGAAAUGUCAACUAUGAUAUGAAUCAGAACAGCAUUCUUUAUCGAAUAGUCAACGAAUUGUCGAUUCAUCUACCUCAGUUGAAUGUGUAUUGCAUAGUACAUGAGGAUUCAUGCACAAUGCCAAAACUGACAAACUGCCAGUGAAGCAUCUGAGACUUCGUCCUGCGAUUUCUGCAGGAUUAAUUCCUUAUGGCACACUAGUUAACAGCAAGGUUUCCUGAGCUUAGGCAUAAGAAUUCUCUACUUGUAAGCAAUCCUUGAUGAGUUAUGUAGAUGUUCACAAUUCACAAAACUACACUCGUCUACUUGUUGAACCAUGACAAAGCUUAUAAGAACAGAAAUAACAAGGCUCUAAACAAGUUUUUGAGGGAAAACUUGAGAGUUCUGUCAAAAGAUAAGCAACUUGAUGCAAACGAAAUUGACUACAAAUCACGGAAGCAAGAAAAAUCGUAAGACAAAGAAUGGUUGUAACAAAUAUCUACACAUUGAUUCGUAGCUAUGAGCUAAAUUAAUACAAGUUCAUUCCUCCCAAGCAAGCAACUCUCCCUUUUGAAAGAUGUUAGAAGGAACUGCAAAACGCAUAGAGAAAGAGCGCGACGAGAGGUCAUCAGCAUCAUGUUGGUCCCAAGAACAUCCUUGAUCAAAAUUCUGAGAGUAAGAGAAAGGAUCAUACUGGAGCUUCACGGAGCGAGUGCUGGAUGGGGAAUCAAAAAUCUUCUUCUUCUCUUUCUUCAACUUCAUCCACAAUGUGCUCCACCGUGACCUGUUUGAUCUAGCUGAAUGCGAGCUCACAUGAGGGUCAGUCUCAUGGUACUGCCGCCCCAACCGGAUAGUUCUGCUGCUUGUGCUGCACCAGUGUUUUCUAUCCAUUGCAGCACAACACCAAAUUGUAAUCUACUUGCAAGUGCUUCAGACGGAUAGAUAUAGCACGAAGUAGGUUCCUGUAUUAAAAGUAUAAAAAGCAGCAGUUGGCCGUCUCUUUUAGACCAAACUUGUCUAACUUGAGGAGCUAAUAGAAAAGCUCAGUUUUCAGUUGACUAAGCUCGAAAUAUUCUCCAACUGGAGGUUGCUACGCUAAACUUCAUCCAGAAACUGACUCAUGUGUCUAUAUAGGAUUAUUUGCCGGAUUAUAUGGAUCUUCUCCACAAUGGAGAAAACCUUUCUUCCUUUUAGCCUGCAAAAUUUGAGGUGACAUACAAUAUCAUAACUGACAUAACAUAUGAUACAAAGAUGCCAGUAAUAAGAAGACAUAUUUCAUUAGCUGAACAAUGGAUGGUUCAAUCACCUUUUCAUAACACCUUUAAUCGUAGGAUAAUAUUACAAUAAACAAUGGUACAAUCCGUUUGAAUUACAAAGAACACAUCAAUUUAGGGUACACUCUCUUCUGUACCCAAGCAUGGUUGAAAACGUGAACUCUCUCCAAGAGAUUAUGUUAUUCUUCAAUUGGAGAAUGCAUCCCUCUAUAACCAUUAUAAGAUAGGAAGAGGGCAGGCUCCUCCGUUUUUGAACAACAUCUAUUAUCAGCACGAAUACUGGUACAUUUUAGCUCCUCUGUUUAUAUGUUCUUACAGAAACCAUCUAUACACGAAAGCAACUGCCUUCUCUUGACAUGUCACAGACUUUGCUGUAUCGUCUUAAGGCCGGAAAAAGGGUGUAGUCAACAAUCCACCGAACUGAAUUUGUUAGGAUUUUGUUGCGUAACCAAACAUAUAAUCCCCCUGCAUUUAACAUCGCUUUGCAGUUUUCUAAUGGUUUGGUGAGCCUCAAGAUACUGUUCUCCCAAAGCAGAUGGAUGCAAUAUAUAGAUUCUUCAACCAUUUUUCCUGCCAAGGCCAAAUGAGAGAAUAUAUAUAUGUAAAAUAUUUCUGCACCAUGAAUUCUGCAAAUAUCGGCUUUACCAAACGUAUACAUGUGUGCAUAAGACCGAUGACUUCUACAAUUACUUUCCGACUGAAAUGCAAUUAGUUUACCAAAAUAAUUUUAAAGCUAAUGUGCAUCAAGUUUGUGUGUGUGUGUGUGUGUGUGUGUGUGUGUGUUCUUCUCCAAGUCUCCUCUCAUUUCCAAUAAACUCAUUUCCUUUAGAGAUGAGAAUAUUGUUAUGCAUUGAUAAUGAUAAUUUUAUAUCUGAACCAACUCCCAUUGGCGCAACUGGGUUCCACGUUGCCAAAGAAGGAUCUUCUAAAUGAAGAUUUGGACAUUUCAACUUAUCACUCCCAUUUCAAAACUCUACAGAGGUUAAAGCAGAGAUGACACUUACCUUAACAUGCGUAGUUGGAAAAACAGAUGUCCGGAGAGUUUCCUGCGCCACAUCUUGUGAUUUCUUCUUGGGUGAACUAAGUAUGAAUGCAGCUUGGUCCUCUGUUGCAGCUGUUGAGGUAAUACGAUAUCCAUUCUCCCAUCUUCUAUGGAUGCCUUCGCUCGGAUAUAGGAAAUCAAUCUCAACAACCUACCAAUACAGCACAUGAAACAAUUAUUUUCUGCAGUGUUCAAAUCAAACAGAACGUAACAAAAGGGGGUCCAAGACGAUAUACCUGAUUAGAAUAACCUGCAUUUCUGGACAUAACAAUGCCCCAUCUGCUACCUGCGGUAGUCAUGGAGGUAACAGAGAAACCUUCCUUCCAUUUCUUAUUAAUCCAUUUGAAAGGGAAUACAUCACUGACUUUGUAUGACUGCUGAGUAUAUGGUACGCCUUCAAUGGAUGACAAAUAGAAGAUCAACAAUUAGAACGAGUAGCCCAAUUAACAGAAAACAUACUCGACAGAUUCCUACUAAGAACACAAUUCACUAUCAUCAUGGACUGACUAGAUUCCAGAAGCGAAACUGAAAUAGACAACAGGAAGCUCUGUUAAUAAGUUUGACAUACCUUGGGACAUUACCACCAGGGCACUGCCGUUGCCUGCGCCAGCAAGUGAAGUGAUAUAGUAGUUCUUGUCCCACUGAUCCAUUAUCCACUCCUGGAAAAUAAUCAGAAACAAUUAACUUGCUGGAACACUUAAUAAUUAAAUGUCAAGUGAAAGCUUAUGAGCGGGUAUUUUCAAGAGAAGCUACCUUGUGCAAGAAAACAGGUGAUAGUUCAUAAACUUGGGAUGUGAAACCAGUCCCCGCAUCCAUGACUAUAGCCCACAUAUUGGCAGAUGAAGCAACACAGCUAAUAUACAAACCAUCUUCUUUUCCUUUGUCAAUGUGCUGCUCCACUCUCACGUCCAUAACAUUGUAGUGAUACCUGCAGACAUUUAUUCAUGUAACUUCUUGACACAGGACAGGAAUGUAUAACCAACAAUACAGUGAAAACAUAAACAAUAAACUCAGGUAAAUCAGAUUCAUACUCCAUUUAAGAGUAAACUAACGUCUCCCGAUAAGGUGAUACACAAUACUUUUCUUAUUCAGGACUGAAACUUUGUGCUAUAUGCUAAAUUAGGACUACUUCCUACAAGUAAUAUUCAGAAUUUUAAUCACAUAAGUUUGUACCGAAAAGUAUUACAUAAUCACAAUUUUCCUUAUUACAGCUUGACAAAUAAAAAGAUGGAUACGCUAUGCUUUUAAACCAUGACUCUAAAUCCUGUGAUCUAAAGCAACUUCUAUACACACCAUAUCAGAAAAUAAAAUAGCUAAGAAAACCAGGAAAUUGGGUGAAUGAGUGAUUGGUAACCUGAAAAAGGGAUUAUGCUCCCUGGUAUUACAUCACCUACCUUUGCUUCAUUGACGGUCUGGUAUUAUAGACUGAGAUCCACUGAUUAGCUGGGCAACCUAGUCUAACCUUUUUCCUGGGUUGCUCACUAUCCUCCGAUUCAAGAAACAACCUUCCCCUUUUUUGGCCAACCUACAUUACAAAAGCAUUCCGUAAACAAAUGCAGCAACCACAACUUCCAAAGAAAUAUAUAUCAAAAAGUUUGAGCAUGAGUAAACCACCUUUGUAGCUCCAUCAGUUCUUAUAGGUCGAAGGGCGGCAUUCACAUUUAUGUUCUUAUCAAACAGGGAAAUAAGUUUUAAGUAAUUUGGUUCUUCAUCGAAUUUCAUAUUGGUCACCAACUCAAGAAACUGUUGAAAAGGAGGCGGACAUGAGACACAUAGCAUCUCAGGAGAAGUUGCCAUCUUCUUCUUGCAAACAAGAAAUCCUUUGUUUUCCCCCUACAGCCCAAGAUCCAUGUCAAGUGCUUAUAAAAUAAGGAAGAAAAAAUAGAACUGUUUAAUUGACUAGGAAUACAGUGGGACGCCCAAAUAAACUUACAUUGUAACCUUGCCAGGGAAGUUUGCCUCUAAGGAGAAAUAUAAGGGUAUAAGCUAAUGACUCAAGGUCAUCCCUUCGGCUCCCUGUCCUGCCUAGAUGAGCAUGUACACUUGCAUAACGAACAGUUCCCCUAUCAAAAGAUCAGAUACAUCAGGAUACUUCAAAUCAUGAGGACAAAAUUGGGUCUAAAGAUCGUAUUAUAAUUGUCCUCAUAUUGAAAUGGUUAUUAGUACAAGGAUGAUAUGCACAUUUGAUAUAUACUUUCUGAGAUGGAUUGUUAGACUGCAUAUCAUUUGUUUCUCACAAUACUUGAGGGCCAAAGUAACUUUUCUCUCCCUCUCCCCCUCUAACCAUCUUGAUCAUCCAAUGUGUAAUAUUGAAGGUUGUAAGUACCUGAAAACAUCAGGUUUUUGAUCAUAAUCGACAUGACGUCCAGAUGUUUCCUUCCAUUUUGAAGCUGUCAAAAAGCAUAUUAAACCAGUCACAAGUCUGUCCAACAUUUCUAUGGAAUGAAAUACAUAAGCACAUUCAAUUAUAGUUUGAUCUUUUAUCCUUGUUACUAAAUUUAUUAAACAGAGAACUCAUACCCAAACCAAGAUCAACAAGAUAUAACUUCUUAUCAUUGACUGUUCCAGGUUGACCAAGCAAAAAGUUUUCUGGCUUCACGUCUCCAUGCACAAAACUACAGUGCAAAUUACUUAUCAUGAGCCACAUUAAUGUAGAACAAAAAUUAAUAACAAAGCAGAAAGUAAAUAGUUGAAAAUACCCUUUGAUAUGAAGCUGCUCUAAUAUUGAGAUUGCCUCCACUGCUAUACAAGCAACCAUCUCUUCAGACAGCCUUAGUACCGGCAAACACAAGAGGAGAUAACAAUGAUAUAACUAAUGCAUAAACUUGGAAUGUAAAUUACUUUUAAGUAUCGACUCUGAAACUCAGAACACAGAAAUAACAGAAGCUACUUACAACUGAUUCCGGUUCCAAACAUCCCAUAAACUGGGGCCUAGCAUAUCCAUGACCUAUUGCAACAUUUAAGAGUUAUUGUUCAUGAAAAGAAAUAUAUGACACUAUUUUCAACAUAUGAAACACAUGCCUCAGAAGGUGAGUGCCGAUAGAAAAGUAACUCACCAGGAUAUAGUAAUCUCCCUGCUGACCUUUGUAAUGAACGUGGGGAACUCCGUAACAUCCAUUAAGAGAGCUUCAGGGUCAUGAAAGACUGAUUAGGAAACAAAGAUUAGAGUGUUUUACCAAAUAAAAGGAUGAAACAUUUCUUACCUGUAUACUUGCCACUCAUAAGGAGGACCAUGACUGCACCCCUUACUGUUUCGACCCUCAAGCUUUAAAGCAACCUACAACCGAAUACAGAUAUACCGUUAGUGCCAGAAUCAAAUUAAUCUGAGAUUUUAACGAGAUAAAACAGAGAUGCAGUACAAAUGUGAGACCUCAAAUGCCUCAGGCCCAGAGCUCCCAUAUCCUCCAGUCACCCUUCUUCCUACAUAAACUUGUCCAAAACCCCCUUUCCCCAGCUUUCUAUCUAGCUUGUACAAGGGGGAGUUUCCAAUCUGUACCUGGAGAUGAAAAUAUUGAAUCAUGUUUAGUAACCAGUUUUGGUUAUUUAGUAACCAGUUUUGGUUAUACUACGGGAUAGAUCCAAGCAGAGAGGUGCCAAGCAGAGAGUUGACAAAAAUUACUCUUUCGGGAAGUGGACUACUGCUCCCUUCAUCCUCAAUAGCAGUCAAUUUUUGUGCACCUUUCUGAUCUAUCAAUUCAUCAGGAACAGCCACCAAAUCUCUUUUUGGCAAAUCCAAACCUGCAUGCCCUUGGCCACCAACUCCAGCACCAAACAGCUUGGGAUUUUUACCUUGAUUCAUGGCUCUAGACCCUCUUCCCCUACCUCUACCAGUCAACCCUGCAUUGGGACACAGAAUCAUUGAGGUAAAUGCAUUAUUCAUAGGUUACUAUAAGAAUACAAUGACGGAGCUAUUACCUUUUCCUGGACCAGCCCGUGCAGCUGGAACUACAACCGCAGGAGUAUCCUGGACAUUAUUGAUCCUCUUUGACCGGCGAACUCCACUUCUUAAAUCUGGCAUUCUAUUUCAUGCAAAUAAUCUCUACCUUUCUUCUCCAAUCCCAAACACUGUUGAAAAAUUAUAGGCUAGGACUCCAACCUGAGAAGUUGACAAAACAAAAAAGUUAACUUCUGAUCAGUAUUCAGUCUGUUCUUAACUUCAGAUGCUCAGCCCAAAAGUUUACUUGAGCAUCCAUAUGUAAGAGAUAAUGUCCUCACUGGAACAUAAAGUCUUGUCAUCUGCAGUAAGUGUAAACAGAGUUGAUUGCAGAUUUCCAAGACAAAAGAACAUAGACAGACAAAAGUAACAACCAUUUCUAACCUAUAAAUCAAAACCUUUAAGCAUACUCAUUUAUCAUUAUCAAUGCAUAACACCCCCAUAGCAGCAUUACAAUACAGACGACAUAUUUCAAUCGAUUCAGGAGUGCUGCAUUGCAAGUUGAUUCCCACAUACACACCAUAUACAUUCAAAACUAAACUCAAUCCAACUGUAGCUACCCUAGCAUCCAUGAUCAAAUCCCCUUCAUUUCCAAAAUCCGCAACAUUACGAUUGUGAGUUGUUGCAAAAACCCGAUUACCCAUUAGUUCAAAGCUAAAUCAAACACUCACAAAUCCUCAAAUUUCAAACAUCCAUCCAAACACAACCAACUAAAACUCACCACUGCAUACCAACACAUAAUCAUCAGCCCAAAGAACAGAUUUUUAACCCAGAAUCACCUCAAACACAAACAUUAAGCUCAUUCAAUCCAACUCAUCAUUCAGAUGAUCCCAAAAACCAUGCAAACCACACCAAAACUGAACCAACAAACAAAAACAAUACCCACAAACAGAUUCAAACAACCCGAUUGAGCAGGACAAUCACAGACCCAGAAAAGCCACAUAAAAAACAAUUUUGAUGGUAAUGGUUUUGCAGAUGAUAACAGAAAACAAAGAGAUGAGCUUUGCAUCAAAAACAUACCCGAUGAUGAAAAAGGCGAUGAAUUUGAGGACCCAAAAGGAUGAAGAAUCAAAGAGAGAAUGGGGAUGGAACUGAAUGGGAGGCUGUCAAUGAAUUUGACGGUGGGUGACUUAGAGAGACAGGUUGGGUCUGAGAAUGUGUUUUGUAAGAAGAGAAGAAGAAGAAAGGUGUGUGUAUCAUCUCGGCAAAAUGGAAAGACGGUGUGAGCGAACCUAGUGCGUACGAUAACAUGAAGGCUGACGUGGGGAUUUUUCAUUGGUUAGGUAGGGGACUUAUGGUGGAGGUAUGGUAUGGGAUCUUGGCUGUUUGAGUUUGGGCCAUUUGUUCCAUUUGUUUCAGGUGCUAAUGACCAAGGUCAACUAUGUAUGUGUUUGUUUUGUUCUUUUUCCUAAUAGUGAAACUUAGACACCAAGAGAACAGGCCUUGACUAUAAGUCUAUAACCCAAGAAAGAAAAAUCAAGCCCACAACUUAUAUUAGUAAUGACACUUCAUUUUUGUUUUUUUACUUUAAGUUUCUUUCAAAGUCCCUAUGUGUUUUUAGUUUCUUUUUCACUUGUAUUAGUUUGUAAUUUUAUUGUAUUCAGAUGAUCCCAUCAUGUAACAAAUGUACAAUUAGGGGGGAAGUACAUGAGUGAAUGUCAAUAUGAUUGAUAUUUUGAGUAGGAAUCACCAUGAAUGAUUUCCAAAAGCAUGUACAUUGUAUUUUUUUUUUUUUAAAUACAUUGUAUGUACAUUGUAUGCUUGCGACGAUCUUUUGACUCUUAAUAUAUUAGUGGAUAGGUCAUAGGUUAAAUAGGAGUGUAAUUUGUAUCAUUUUAAUUUCAACAGGUUUUUACUUAAGAUGUGUCAUAGAAAUACCAUUAAGAUAUUUGAAGAAACUACUGCUUAUAGGACAAAACAAAUAAACACAAAUUCUUGCUCUACAGUUACUACAUGCAAGUAUCUAAUUGAGUGGGUUAAGUAUAUGCGAGACUAUGAUAUGUCUGAUCCCACACAUUUAAGACUUGAAUAUAUUGUACUGGUUCCACGGUUAUAUGAUUCUUCAAAGUUAGGCACAAGUAGUGAGAAUGAAAAUUAGGAUGACAACUACAACUAUCAAUGAUAUGAAAGACAAGUUUAACAUGUUCGAACAAGUUUACUAAUUAUUGUUAUGGUUUUGAUUUUUACCCGUGUAAAUGCAUUACUUUUACGAUUUUGUUUUUUGCCUGGCUCUUGGCCUCGUUUGUUUCAUGGGAAAUAAGCAUCAAAAAAUGAAAGUUGUUCAUUUCCGGUGUUUAGGAAAGCAUAAGGAAAAGAAACACUUUAUUGAUUGAUGGGAAAAUAUGGGGAAAAUGGUUCAUUCUAAAAUCCUAAGGAACCAAUUUCCUUUUUUAUUUCACUGCAUUUAUUAUUUACAACACAAUAUUUUAUUAUAUUAAAUCUCAACUCUUUAACAACUUUCCAAUUGACUUUUCUGGUGUUACCAAGCAUCGGAAUGGAAAAUUCUUGUAAAUUUCUCAUCCUAUGGGAAAGAUGAAGGAACCAUUUUCCCUUCCGCGAACCAAACGAGACCAAGAGUGAGCAACAGCUGCCUGUAGGAAAUGUAUGAUGUAUUGAUGUUACAUAAAUCCCUCAAGCGUUUAUGUAAUGGGUCCAAGCUUUCCUCUUACACCGGUAUUCUAACGGUGACCGAGACAUCGAUCUAUUUAUACCGAUUCAUGUUAUGGUGAAACAAAUGGAGUAUUUUUCAAUAAGGAAAAUCCGAACCCAAAAUUGUUAGAUAUUGCCAGUUCAUCCCAAGACUCGGAACUGUAAUAAAAAUGUCCAAGUCUCAAGUCUAUGCUCACAGCAGGCCCUAAAUUAUCCCUCAUUUUCACACCAACCACCAUGUAUUUCAAUUCCACACGAUGAUCAAAGAAAGGAGCAUAACCUCAUAAACACCAAACAAUAUUGAUAUAUAAACAAGCCGCUGCAAUUUCUCCAAUUGAAUAUAAGUAGAAAAAUUACAUAAAAAAAGUAUGAAUCAAAUUUUAUGCUACAUAUAGUACACAACAAGAACAAGCUCAUCAAUCAAGUCUCGCUGCUACUGCCUAACCCUAAAACUCAAAGAUCCGAUCAAUGCAACAGGUAUGUCAUCGCCAAAGCCAGCACCAAAAGGAUGUAAGCAAUUCCUUGAUCUAUAGCCGCACCUAAACAAAAAUCAAAUCAAAACCCAUGUUAGCAAAUCCACAACACUAAAAAACCCAUGUAAGCAAAUCCCCAAUACUACACAAACUGGAUCUGAACAAGAACUCACCAUCGCUGGUCGGAGAAGGAGCUGGGGCUUCCUGACCAUAGCUGAGGCCGAAGAGGGCCAUGAAGAUGAACCCAAUAAUGGGAAGAGCGCAGCAAGAUCUGUAUGAGUUCAUCUUCGAAAAGUGAAUUAGAGAUGAAGAAGAAGAAGAAGGUGAGGGGGUUUGAGAAUUUGGGUUGGAGGGUUGGGAAGGGUAGUUGGUGUUUAUAUAUUAUUGGGGCAGUGUGGGGUUUGGGGAACGUGGAGGGCAACAGUGGGCAUGUGCUGGUUCGAGGAAGGUGGGUGAGAGUGUGAGAGAGAGAAUCUGAGAAUAGUUUCAGUUUGGUUUUGGUUUCUUUGUGAACAAAGUACGCGGUCUUGACGCGAGCUUUUUUGACUCCGGGUCGGCGGCUAAUGGACUCGGAUUCAGAUUCGGAUUCGGACUCGGACGGCAGUAGAUGUAUGAGAGUGGCCAUGGUUCUUAGCCCGCCAUAUGAGGCUGGAUGGAAGGAUGUAGACAUUGGACCAUAAAAUUGUAUACAUCAACAUAAAAUAAAAUACAAUCUAGAGUGACGUGAAAAUACAACGUCUUCAUGUGUUAUCGGUUUAUAUUAUAGUACCAUAAUUGUCUGUUGAUUCAAUAAUUUAUCAGAACGUUCAUUUUUCGUCACAUUUUAAAAAAAAUAUGAUAAUUUUAAUAAACACAACAUUAUGAUCGACUAAUUUUUUCUUCUUCAUGAACCAUGGAUCAUUUUUUUUUUUCGACAGUAUAAACCAUGGAUCGUUAAAAAUCAAAAUCAUGUAAAUACUUAAAUAGCAAAUACUGUGAUUCGAUGACGAUGUGACUUAUUCAAAGCAACAUGGGUUACAUGGGUCAUUGAGACCAUUAAUCUAACACGUUUUUUCAAGAUUUUGAAGUGUCUUAUUGUUUAAGUGUCCCAUUUGUACUCAAAAGAAGACUUUGUCAUUUAUCCAAAUCAAGAUCCCUAUGCUUGAUAAGCGAGUGCGACACGAGGGCUUCCUUAGUUCCAUACAACUAAGGCAACACAGGAAGGAGUAGGAAGUCUGGGUGAUAAAGAAAGCGCAGGUGUGCAAAUGUAGCAACCUGUGCCAGCAAGGGAGAGAAGAAUCAGAACCCCGUUGAGUUGUCAAAUUAGAAGGUCAAACAGAAGUUGGUGUUGUUAGAUUAGUCUUGAUUCACAUAUGGAAGCCAGGAGGAUUGAGCUAUAAUUCAAGUCCAAAUUGUAUACAUUGUAAUGGAAAAGUCGGUUGUGGUCGACCUUGAUCAGUUGACCGUUACGGUUGGUUUUAUAUAACGUUGAACGCCACCUUCCACAUCAGCCGUAAAAUAUCACAAUAACAUUGUAGCCAAACACAUACAAAGCGUAUGUUACCAACAAUUGUGUGAUUUUGUUAUAUUUAUAUGUUAUCUGUUAGCAAAUAUCAAUGUGGGAGGUGUAUAGUAGUUGUAUCUAUGUAUGAUUUUAGUUUUGCUGAUAGGAAUGUACACGUCUAAAAGAGUUUCACAAUUUAUGUAAGAUAUGGGAGAAAACUAUGUAAUUAGAUAAAUUUUACUUUUAAGUUUUCGUUGAAAUUUUCCUAAACCUUUUGAUAGAUGUAUCAUUCAACCUUCUAUGGGAUUGAUCUCGAUUCUUGGAAAUGCCAGAGUUCAAUCGUUGAACUAAGUUGGUUGCGGAUUAAGUUUUAAAAGAAAAUUUAAAAAAACUAUAAUAUUUUGUAAUGGUGACCACAAUUUGUGAGAGAGUGAGAAUUCUACAAGUAGCUAGGAAACAUAAAAAGUUCACAACUAUCUAUGAAUGUCUAUAUAUAGCCUCUAUGGGAAUUGAUAUCACGUUUAAUGAAAAAAUUGAGCUAAGGAUGAAAUAAUUUUUUUAUUGAUAUGCUUGUGUUAAAUUGAUGAAUGGUAAUCUCAAAACUGUUUUAGCAUUCUCAAUAUUAACCCAUGAUUUUGUUAUCUCCAAUCCAUCAAGGCAUCCUGAAAUGAAAAAAGGCUUGUCAUGUUUGAUGAGGUUAUGGUCGCAAGUCGUUUGUAAACGUGAUCAAAGCCAAACUCUCAAGCAUAAGCAACAGCCUCCUUGAGAGACUAUCCCCAUAUAUCGUCCGCAAUAUGCAAAGCAUGAUCCUUUGCAUUGCCGAUCUCAAACUUGAUUAUACGCAAGCACAAAAAAGAGAAUUUUCAUAUACACAUAAUUUUAAAGAGUGGUUUUAAAUAAAACUCACAUAAUAUUCAUAUCUGAUAGACAUCUAAAAUGUAUCAAUUAUGAUAAAUAUUAUGUCAUAUUUUUUCUAAAUUUUACACAAUUGACACCAUUCAACUAUAACAUAUUAAUAUAAUAAAUAAGCUUAAUUGAUGCUGUCUUAAAUACCUUGAUUAUGAGUUUUUCUUCUAACACUAACAUUUUUCAAUCAAUUCGCAAGAAUCAUGUAGUUUUCUUUAUUUUUAUGAAAAAAUCUAGAUUUAACGAAUUCAUUCUCUAAUCUAUACAUAAGGUAAAAUAUAAUAUGAAUAAGAUAUCUGAUCUAAACCCUAUACCCUAAACUCUAUAGCCUAUACCCUAAACCCUAUACCCUAUACCCUGAACCUAUACCCUAACUCUAUACCCUAAACCUUAUACCUUAACCCUAUACCCUAAACCCAAUUUUGGGUUUCUUUUAUUUAGGUAUAUUAUCAUAUCAUACCCUACUUAAUAUGUACAUUAGAAACGUAAGUAGUAGAGAGUAAAAUGUUCUCUCGAUUAUGAUAGGAAAUGAUAUAAUAAUAUACUUAAAAAGAAUAAAAUUAAUCAAAGAACAAGAACGUGUACCUUACAAUUAGACAUUUUUCGACUAUGUAGAGAGACACUAAAUGUGAGCUUAGGAAUGAAAAGUAUCAUCCUAUUACAAAUGACAUACUUCUGUAUAUAGCAUAUAUAUACACACACUCAAGUUAGUAAUAACAAGUUAAGAAAUUAAAGAAUGUAAUUGAUUAUGACAAAGUUAAAUCCAACUAAAUUUUAGCUAGUAUUUGAGUUUCAAAUUGAUGCUAAAAUUGAUAAAUAUACCAAAUUUAGCUUUUUACUGUCUGAAGAGCAAAUUAGAGAAACCGAAAAAUAAAAAAAAUAUUAAUUAUAGACAUUUGCUCUAUAUGGUAUGUUUGCUUAUGUGGAGUGAGUGUAAAAUAAAAAAAAAUAUGUAUGAGUUUAUCUUAAAAGAGGUAUAGUAUUUUAGGUUUUUAUCUAAUUUUCUCCAAAAUUAAUGUCUCCAGUAACUUUAGAAAACCAAUGAGCUGAUUACAAACUUGCACUGGGAGAGUAAAACAAGAAACUAAUAUGAAGACUGAAGGAUCGAAGAAAUGCUAGAGACGAUUCCACCAUAGCAUCAAAAUCUCAGCAGCACCAGACUAGCUAGCUAGGAGAAGAUAUCAGUCUCACCCGAAAGUGUGUACAGAGUCCCAAACUAUAUAGUUUGGAACUGGACAUUUUACCAUAUUAUUUUUCUACUUUUGCCGAAAAUUCCGAAGUAUUAAGAAAAAAAGGAUGACCACUUAUGCAUGCCAUGCAUGUCUGUCGCUACUUGUGGCUUUGGCCCAGGAAUGACUAUGAAUCUCGUAUGAAAACCAGGGCACCACACAAAAUGCUUCCUAUAAUAAACACAUGCAAAGUAGUUAAAAGCUUGUUGCUUAUGCUUAAUUAGGUCGUGAUCUGACUAGGAACAACAUUAACGACACGGAAAGCAUAAGCCUAACCAAGUGCCGACAAUUUCAUUGCUUUUCUGGGUUCAACAUUUCGCUCAACCCAAUCGAUUAGGUCUUUCUUUCCUAUCAAAUGUUGCAUUUCAAGUCACAUCUAUACACAUCAAUCCCCCCUAUCCCAUAUGAUGAGUCCUAUAUAUGACCUAGUGACAUGCAUAUGAAUCGUGCUACAUCAAACUAGGCAGUUUAAUUUGGGCAGUAAGUCAUCAGAUUAAUUAGAUAUUAACUAUUGAUCAGAGUUUUAAAAAAACUCCUUAGGCUUUGUUACUGUGGAAGACAUGUUUGGAGUGUCUAGACGUCGUCUAAGUAGGUUGUACGGCCUUAUUUUAAAACACUGUAUAUAAUUAAAGUUUAAAAACUCGUUAAAUAUUUUAAAAGUAAAAAUUUAACUUAAAGCGUUUAAACGCCUCUCAAAAAAAUGAGCGGUCUUAUUUGAGAACCCUAGUAUUGAUUCGUAUUACUAUUGACAUACGAAAUUUUAUUAUCAAAACGGAAAUGGAGUAGAUAAUUAAUUUGUGAAGCUAGCUAGCGGUGAGAGAUGAAGAUAUGAUGAACAAUGGUGUCAUUGCCAGUAAGAAAUAGACAAGUGAGCACUCUUUUGAGUCAGAAUCGUCUCCAACUGGCGGAACCAAAGGCAGGUGGCGGAACCAAAGUAGCAUCUAAUCCUCAUUGGGAAUGCUUGGUGGGGUCGAAAUCCCAUUUCCCAAAUGAAAAUUUGUGACUAUGAAUAGCGUCGUUAUUCGAUUUUCUUAGGCUACAAGUGCAGCUAAAGCUUUGGUAUAUGGACAAGUGUAGCUCAAGAUAAACUAAACUGGUCUCAUCAGUCUGAGGAUGAGCCCAUUGUAUUAUAUCGUAACAAAAGCAUCUUUCACAUCGAGGCUAAAAGCAAAGGAAACCUUUCCCUGGAGGAAUCAAUCUUAACCCCAAAGAAACUUCUUUAUAUAUAUGCCAAUUCCAUAGCCAAGCUUUACUUGCCCACCUCUCCUAUAUAUUCCUCUUCUCUCUAUAUUUGUAAUGCUGUAGCAGUGUAGGCUACAGAUUCUUUUCUUUUCUUUUCAGGCCAUUCCUCAUAUCUCAGGUUAACGAGAACCAAGAUUGAACAAGAUCAUUAUCAUGUGUCACCCAGCGGGAGUGUCUUUGGUUGCACACAGAGACUUGGCGGUGCAAAAUCGCCGGUGGCUGCUGCUUCUUCUGCAGGCACGGUUCGACGGUUCAAGGAACUUGCAUGCAGCUGCAGACAGAGGAGUUAGAGAGGCUGCUGCUUCUGGUGGAGGUGGCGGCGGUGGCGGCGGAGCAAGGCGAUGUGUGUGCUCGCCGACAAGGCAUCCGGGGUCGUUCCGGUGCAGGCAACACCAUGCUGAUCAGUAUGUAUGGGGUGGUCGAACUGUGACAAGAAUCAGGUCCAGUAGUACUAGUACUAGCUGAUUAAUAAGCUAGCUUUGGUUUUAUACAAGUGAGCAAAUUUACAAGAUUACGAAGGAGAAAUUGAGAUGUAAAAUAUGGUGAUGUGUGUCUUGCUUACAAGAAUUAGCUCAACUGCUAAAGGUUAAUUGGCUGGAGUAUAUUGAUGUUUUAAACUGCCCUCGUCAUAUUUGGCGCAUUUCUUAGAGGGUGUUGGGAAACAAAGAUCGUCAUAACGACAUAACCAAAUGCUUAUCUAUGCUUGUUGCAGUUUAAUUAGAACUGAGAAAGGUUUAGUGCUGUGAAAUUCUGUUAGUGAUCCUAAGAAGUGGAAAUUUAGUUCCAUCGUUUUGUUAUACCUCCGUAUACAAGAUCAAGUUAAGAACCCAAAUCAGUAAUCGAUCACUUGGUACUUUAUAAAACCAGUUUUUGGGUUGCAAAAGAUAGGAAAAUGACGCUUAGGAUGAUGGUAUAUGAUAAUGAAACUCUGAACGAAAUGCUUUCAAAGGUUUAUAUUAACAAGCAUAUAUCACAUAAAACCGCUGCUAAUGAGGCUCUACUGAUACAAAACAUAAUUUGUCAUCUGAAUGAACAUAAGCUGGUUACAGGGGUUAUAACAAGACCGAUAGAUCGUUGCCUCCAAACUAUUCAACUUUUGUCAGUUUUGAAGAGUUAACUUGGAUUUCACGAAACUGCGCAAAAUUUUUAAGUUAUUUAACAUUUUGACAAAAUACAAUCUAUAGUUAACUUCUAAGGACUAGAGACAUGGUUUAAUUUUCUCGAAUAUCUUAACAAAUCGAUAUUUGUAAACAACUCAGACGUAAAUACUUCAUUCCUAGUGAUACGACACAAGUAUUCUCUAGAAUGUUUCAUAAUAGUUGAUAUAUGCUCAUAAAACACACAAUUGUUAUUCAUCAACAACUAUCAUAGUGUGAUUCUUGUUCAUUUAGAACACAACUCCAAUCAAUACAUUCAUCGUAAUAUAUUCAUACUGUCAAGUAAGAGUGAGGUAAUUGACAAAGUAUGCAAGCACAUAACACUCGUGUUCUGCUUGUCCGAAGGUUAUCCCAAUUGAUAUAUCAAGCCAUGCAACAAACUAAUCACAGCACGAAGCAACCAUCAGCUUCAGGAUCAGGAAAAGUGGAUGCGUUGGUAUAGAAUUCGAAGAUACGAGUAUGCAUGAACUGGAGACUCAAAACAGUUCCUGACGUCCUUGUCGAUCUUGGUCGUUUCAACUUCAAAUUGAAACGGAAUGGCAACACCCCUAGUCUUAUGACUCCCAACCUCAUCAAACUCAGGUGCUUGUCCAUCUGGGCGACUCAUUUCGGGGGCAACAAGGCAGGCUUUCUGACCUCCUAUAUGGAGGAUGUAACUUAUACAUGCGAAAUCAAAUUCCUCAGGCAACAUUGGCAGCUCCAAAUCAACAAUUUGUGUGAUAGAUUCUCGAUUCUCAUCUAAGAACAUAAUAUAAACUCCUAGAGACCACCGUCGACCAUGAUUGUAGGCAAACAUUAUCUUCUUGUUAUUGUUAUGGUCACCAGGGAGGUCCAGGACCAAAGCUCGGUUAACAAAAGGAAAAGGGCCGCUUUCGCACAUGGAAUCGACUCUCCUCCAUUUUCUGUCUGCGUGAGGAACAUCGAAGUAGUAGACAGGACUUCUUCUCUGAGAUAUAAACAUCUUGGUGCCAGUAAUUGCAUAAGCAAAGGGGCCAAAGCAGGAAUGCCGGAGAGAUGGAGGUUCUGGUAGAGCAGACCAAGUCCCCAUUUCGGGAUCGAAUACCUCAAAUGAGGGAGAACCGGAGACAAUCCUAUACGUAAGUGCAUACAGUUUGCCCCCCAUCUCCACCAUCAUUGGAGAAAACUUGCCUUGGAUCAAUUUGGCAUCCAUCUUCCGUAUUACACUUGUAUCACCAGGAGGCUGCUUGUCGGGGUCAGUUUCGAAGACGUAAACAUCUCUAUGCCAAGUAGAGCCGGUGAACCUUGUAACGAAAUGGCCGGCGGGUGUCAGGCCAGCGGCGAAAACAAUCUGGGAGCCCAAUACACCACAGACCCCACAGGAGGGGAGUUCAGCAUCUCCGGCCUUAUAACCGACCUGCUGUAAUUGCAAACUAUCAACCGAAUCUGAUGACAACAGAUCGGACAAUUUGAUGGAACGGACAACAUAGGACACUCGCUUACCCGGGUGGUGUUCGAUGUAACAUGAGAGACUUAUUGGCCUCCGACUCAUUACGCUUCAACUUCUUACUUCUCUUCCUCUUCCUAUCAGCCUUUUCACGGCAGUGCCGAAGCUUAUGCUUAUCAGCCUUAUACGGUGGUUCACGGCAGCCUCUAAGCCGGUGACCAUCGCCGGCUCUGUUGGCUACGUUAAGAGUGUUUUUGGGGGACAUGGAAGUGUUUGAUGCUUUGUGUUGCGCCUUUCUUUGUGUACUUAUAGAGGAAACCUUUCCUCCCAACACAAGAAGUAAUCCAACUACAUAACUGGUCUAAUUUAAUUGGGUUUUCUGUUCCUAGAUGGACUAGGAAACCAGUUAGACUUGCAGGUCUUAGUUUUGACUGAUUCGAACCUUCAUCAGGAAUGUUAAUCGUAUGAUUUAACAAAAUUAUCCUUUAAAAAAAAAAAAAAAAUAAGUUAAUUGAAAAGAUAUACAAUUCGGAUUUACUCAACUAGUUACUGUACCAAGCACACCAGGAUAUUAACCGCAUCAUUGACGAAGUACCUGUUUUUGUUGGUCACUUGAUCACGUUAGUUCUUAAUGAAGAAAGCAAACAACGCCUGGGGGUGGUGGCUUUGUUGUCCAAAUGGUUUCAAUUGACUUGCAUACUUCGCUAACUAUAUACUUCAUGUCAGUAACCCCAAUAAAGGUAGAACAAUUUCUACCAUAUGAAACCAAGUUUGGUUUAUAUACUGUAUCGGAUUCCAAGGAACCGAUAUCACAGUUUUGGGAUCUAAAACAUGCUAAAGAUUAUGAGAUAGCCUACUAAUCCAUGAAUCCAAUCAAUCGUUGGGUUUCUACAGUACUUCAUAAGUUAUAUUAUUGUUCCGAAGUGUCGUGCAUUGUAAACACUAAACAGGAGAUAAGUUACGAGCUGUAAAACAAAACCACUUAAAGAGAUAGGAGAAUUGAGUUACAAGCUGCAAACAUGAUAUAUGAACAUUCAGUGAUGGAUAUAGAAUGAUGAACCAAAGUGAGAUUGAAAAGCUGGAUAUUGUAUGAGAACAACAUGGCUGCGAUCCGUAGUGGAAUUUUUGCGACCAUAGUUUACCAAUCCUAACAUAAAUUAAACUUUGGCAAAAUACUGAAAUUUUCUCAACACGGUGUGGUAUUAUUGGUAAGGAAGCAUCUUUCGUGCUUGUUACCUUUUACUAGUACCAAAUACGACACGAAAAAGACAAAAUAUAGUGCAAGCUUCAGCUUAGUUUAGAAACCCAGAUGAGAUCAUCAAAGCCAAGUCAAAGUUCAAUACCCAAUAGAGUCAAGACACGAAGUACUUGUGGGUCCAAAAGCAUUUCAAAUCGUCGACAGGACGUGGAUACAGUUUUGGGUCCAAAGGCUCUUGCGACGAAAAAUCGUCGAGUCAAUAUUACAUAUUCGUAAACCAACCGAGCUGGCUGGCUGAAGCCCAAAUAUAUUAGAGCCCAACCAAGCUGAAGUCGGUGGAAGACCGUUGGAGAGAACGGUAAUAUAAUUUGAAACUUUUCCAAACCUCCGAAAACCCUCCACUCAUUUUCGCUCUCCAAAUUUCCAAUCUUUCUUUCUUUUCAAUCCCAAGAGAAUCCCACUUGUUUCUUUUCAUUCUCAAAUCCAGAGUUGGAAGAAACCAUAGAAAUCGAAAGGCCCAAAUUUCCAAUCCCAAUUGCAAAAUCAAGAACAGACCCUGAUUUUUCAACCUCUGAGAAACCCUAGAAACAAAUUUCGAGAGAAAGGCCCAAUCUUUUUUCCAAUCUAGGUUUUGCCGAUUUCAAAUUGCGAAUUCGAGAUGGGUAAACGACGUCGCAUCAAGAAGCUCUGUGCUGAACUUGAUGUAGCCGAGGACAAGUUUGGAGAGAAAGAGCCGAUCAGUGAGGAAAUUGAAGAGGGAAGUCAAGAGGCUGAUGAAGAGGUUGGAUCGAAAAGGAAAGAGGGAUCGGCGUAGACGGGAACGGCGUGAACGGAAGAGGUUGAUGGGCGUGAGAGAUUUGCGUGUGCGGGAUGGUCGUGAUUAUGUCCCGCACACGCAAAUCUCUCACGCGCAUCAACCUCUUCUGUUCACGCCGUUCCCCCGUCUACGCCGAUCCCUCUUUUCUUUUCGAUCCAACCUCUUCAUCAGCCUCUUGACUUCCCUCUUCAACUUCCUCACUGAUCGGCUCUUUCUCUCCAACAUGUCCUGGGCUACAUCAAGUUCAGCCCGGAGCUUCUUGAUGCGACGUCGUUUACUAAUCUGGAAUUCGCAAUUUGAAAUCGGCAAAACCUAUAUUGGAAAAAAAAUUUGGGGCUUUCUCUCGAAAUUUGUUUCUAGGGUUUCUCAUAGGUUGAAAAAUCAGGGUCUGUUCUUGAUUUUGCAAUUGGGAUUGCAAACUCUCUGAUCCCGAACUCUCAUUGUAUGUAAGCCGCCUUUUUCUAUUCUGAACUAUUGAAUGAUUUUAUGAAGAAGAUUGCUGAUAAUGAUUGAAGUUUGCAUCCCAUUCCUAUUAACUAUUGGAUCUAUUUUGUCUUUGUUUUGAUACACAGGUUCCAGUUCCAAAACUUGUAUUUCCACAAGUUUCUCCAAAACAGGGAGGACAUCACCGCCUUUCCAGUGCUUGCUGUUCAGAACCUCCGUCGGCUUCAGAAUGUCACUUAUAAGGAGAGGGAGCGCAAAUGGACACAGGCAUACAAAAGUUGGGUACAGGACCACUACCCCGAGGGGGGAAUUGAUUUGGAAACAACCUGUAGUGAGGAGAUUUAUGCUUGGAGGGCCUUCAACUAUAGGUUCUACCGAGAUGACCCAGUAGAUGAGGCUGACCUUGUCAGGACCCUCAUCUCCCACUUCAACGAAUGCAGGGCCAAAGAUAUUCCUGCCUCAGCUACAUUUGACCUCAAGCAGGUCGGGGAGGUGGUUUUCAGCUUGUUUCCAGAUAUCUACACCGAUCUCUUCGACUUCCUGUACGAGUGUAAUGUCUAUCUUGAUUUCUCUGCCUGCCGGACUUACUACAGGUGCGUUCCCCUUUGCUCUAUCUUACCAGUUUGCUUGAGACAAUUUUCCAUAUGAUCUUUUGGUUAGGCUUGCUACUGAUGUGUGAUUCCUUCUUUCUUUCUUUUUGUGCAGGGAUCCUGUUGUUGUUGUUGCUGAUUAAGACUGCAACAGUGGGCAUAACAGUGGGGCUUGUUUGAGGUUGAUUCUAAUGGAGGAGACACUUGACUUAGAGAAGAGGAAAUAGCUGAAGCAGUCAUAGUGGGAGGGUCACCAUUUUUUCUGAUGCCAUCUUCCUGAUGUCAUCUGGUGUGCAAUGCAGGUGCCGCCUUAAUUUUUUUUUGCCUUGCUGGUGAAGUGAUUUCUUUUUUAUAGAGGAAAUAAGUAGGUGGCAUACACCCAAGUUUAAGUGUAAUAGUUGAAGAAAUACAAUGCAGACUUGAGGAAGUUUAUGCUUGUAUCAGUGAUUGAUUGUUGUGCUUCUUGAAUUCUUUUUACCACAUAAUGCAGACUUGAGGAAGUUUGUGUUUGUAUGUUGUGCCUCUUGAGUACUUUUUACCACAUUUUCUGUUAUAAAGGAGGUGAUAUAAAUCAUUCUAUUGAGAAUUAGAAUCGACCUCCAGGGCUUCUAAAUCUAGAAUCGACCUCCAGGGCUUAUAAAUGGCCUUGUAAUGUCAAAGGAUCUGUGUCUAGGUGAGAUAUCUUAUUAGUAAUCAAGCUUGCAGGCAAGGUGAUUUGUUUUCAUGGCAAAAGCCAGCCGGAACAAGUGAACUUUGAGGUUCAGCCGGGGCGGUACUGCCAGACUGAAAUUAGUGUUUUGUCCAAAAUAUUAAUACAAAUGGUCUGAGCAAGAACUGAGGACAUGUGGAUCAGUUUUUAACUCUUUUGUUGGGUUUGUACUUUAAAGCAGUGGUUUAAACUUUAAACUCUGGCAAAGAAUUUUCUUAAAUGUAAUAGUUGUUUAGAAGCUAUAAGCUGCCGGCAGGGAGAAGAGCUUUAGUUCUGGGCAGGUUCUCAAAUUUGCAGAUUUAUAAGGUCCCCCUUUGAAUUACAAGAUACCUUUAAAAGGAAAAUGGAGACGCAACAACUGAGACUAAAGAAAGUGUGAAUUUUUAUAAUCCAAAUGGCUACAGCAGUAAUGAGAGAAGUAUUCCCGAAUUUUUAGCAAUUAGCACAACACCACAAACUGGGAUUACUAAAACAACCCGUCAAAAGAAACUGGGAUUACUAAAACAGGUCAUUCCAUGAGUUGCAAUCACAUAUAGAAGUUAUUACAGUUACAAUGGCAAAAAAAUGACCGAGAAAGGAAUGAACUAAGCAAGCAGGUUUGCGUCCACAUGCUUGCAUUGAAUAGCUUCCACGCUUGUAACAACUUAAUCCAGGUUAAGGUCAUCAGCAACCUCUGGGAUGAUAGCAGUUGGCUCGUUGACCGCUUCCUCGACAGAAAAUUGAAUAGGUACUGCAGGUCUAAGAUAGCUUGUCGGCAAAACUUAGCACACUUUUGCACAACACAUAUUCCGAGCUCCUUAUAUGUCUUAGAAACUUAAACUAGAGGAUCAGCUACCACUUCAGGUACUCCAUUAUCUCCAGAAGCAGAUAGCUGCCAGAUAUAUGUAAUCAAAAUGACAGUGUCUUGCUGUCUUAAAUAUGCAUUUUGAUAAAACAUUUUACAACUUGAUAUAAUAAUAGAAGCAGAUCCUGAUGUGUGCUCUGAAUCAAAAACAUGAACUGUACAGUAUAUGUUUGGCUUUGUUUGUCAACCAAGAUAGUCUAAAUCAUGCACUAGAGCAAAUUCAAAUGGAAAGUCGUGAGUGAACGGAAAAAACAUAAGACUUACAGUUGGUCAAAUAGGAAGAUUAAAAUAGAUUUGGGAUAAGUGCUUUACAACUACAAACAUAUGACUUAUACUAUCAAAUGCAUGAACUGCAAUACUUAGAUUAAUUAAGAUAUUCUAUGAAAGUAUGAAGCUCGCUUUCAAAAAAAGAAGAAGAAGAUAUUCUAUGAAGCAAGAAAGUAUAUUAUAUAUGCACAUACCUCGAGCCUGAGCCUUUACCAAACGGGUAGGAGAUGGCAUUACCAAAGAUCAGUGUUCACUACUACAGUGCUCGCGGUGGCUUCAGCUUCUAUAAGGAUCCCUGAGUCGACUCUGCUUGUUGACCGAAAAGGUGGUGGCUUCUGGAUAUAGCAGGCGUGCAGCUAAGUUAAUAUCAACAUUCUUUGAACCUUGAAGUUCCAUUCACAGAUGCAUAUCCAAUCCCAAAGCAUAUCAACCCUCGGAUCAACCUAAGCUAACUGAAAGCCUAAAACCGCUUUAUUACUUAGACUCCAAAGCCAAGCAACAAAACAAAAAGCCGACAAAGUUUAUUGAUGAAACAAUAUAUAACCUAUGUCCAUGAAGAGAUCAACAGUUUUACCCAACAAGUACAUAUUACUGGUAAACCAGAUCAAAUUUAACAAAAGUCUACAACUAGGACAAUAGUUCAAUUGUAAUAAAUCUCAAUAACUAUCAUAGUCCAAAACUGGGUAAAGCAGUACAGGAGCUUCAUUACCUUCUCUGAUGCCCUAUGAAAACACCAUAAGGCGGAGGCAACAUCUUUCUUGACACAGUCUCCAGUAGGAUACACAACACCCAGAAGGUAUAGAGCGCCUGGAUGCAACUAAAAAGAUACCGAGCUCCUGUUAGACUAUGAAAUACGAUUCUGGAAGCACCAUUAUUUGCCACAUUAUAGUGAAAACCUACCUGAUCAACUGCCUUCUCCAGAUAUGGAAAGCUUGCUGAUCCGACUGGACAUUCUCAUUCUAAAAAAGCACCCGAUUAGGCAACCAUCAUAAAGUAAUAAUAAAAUGAUCAAGUAUGUCAACGGAAAAAGAAAAUGCAACAAACUAUUGCAACAUCCCCAACCAGAAACAAAAGAAUAUCGAUCUAUUAAGGGCAUUUUAUCACAUGAGUCGUCAAAAUUCACACACUGAGACCAAACCCAUAAAACUAAUUAGUUCACAUACAAAUUGUUUGAUAGCUGCAAAAUAUACAAUUCACUUAGUGUAUACCUCAACUCUAAGACGACAAGCGAGUUCAUACUGUGUAUCCGGAUCACCCAUAUUUGCGGCUUCAACUGACAGAGCAGCUCCUCUGUUGUGCAAAAAACAGAAAAAUUAUCAAUCACAUGACAUCUUUUUAUUUGCUUGUAUGCCCCAUGAUGCAACACAUAGUAAUUUUGAGAAUGCAGACCACCAUCAUUAAGAUAAUGAAGAAAAGAGUCUAUAAGACUUCUCAGAAAGUACACUUACAUCGGUUUGCAUGCCUCUGGGACAUGGUAUUUCAAAUGCAAUCCGGACAACCAAUACCUAGCAUGGGUAUUUGAGUUGUCGGUCUCUAGAGCCAACUCAAAGUUUUCUUUGCUGCUUGAUGCGAUCAAAACAAUCGUGUCAGAACAGAGCCUUUUCUUUCUAUCAUCCCAAUUUCAUCAACAAAACCUUAUAUGUACUAUGAUCAGAAGGAAGGAGGAGUAUUGCUCCGGAGCAAUACUCUAUAAAGUAUUUUGCCUCUGAUUUGGAAGCUUAUAUCUCACCCAACAAUCAACCAAGCAAAUUAACUAAUGAUGGAAGUCGACAAAAUCAUGGAUUUUAUCCCAGCAGCCUUCUAUUAAAAACAUGACACUCUUCUCUGUCCUCCCAAAACAAAAUCAAAAAACCAUCGAAAACCCAAAAUUCAAUUUGGUUUCUCUUUGUUUCCCACCUUUCCUCAUAAACCAAAAGCAUGUAAAACACAUACAAACACAUGGACAUCAAAAGGCUCCUUUCAUCUUAAACCUCAUCAAACCUACACUAACAUGUGGGUCAGUUCAGUUCACAAUCUACGUCUUCACAUUACUAAUCAAGACACCAACUUUCACUACUUUUCCAAGUAGAAAGAAAAGUUGUUAAAUACACAGAAUGGCAACAUAAAAUAGAUAAAUUUAACAACUUAUUCCAUUUUCUUUAUACCAUUUCAACACUCUAACUAAAGACUGAUUCAGCUGGUAUUCAACAUUAACUAGAGACAGAGAAUUAUCAGAUUAACUCUAGGAAUUAGCUCUAUCAAAUUCAAGUAAUCAGCCUUAAUACUUGCUAAUAGCCUAUGACCAUAUAAAAAAGACUUAAUGUAAAGGAAUCUGUGAGACUGACAUUCAUAAAAUCCUUAAAGUCAUAUGUUACUCUAAGCAUGUAACAAUAAAGUUAAACCAUGGUACUAACCAAUCAUUACACACCAUGUUCCUCUGACACUUAGGCUUCUAGCAAUGCAGGUUAAAGCCACACGAAACCUCUAACUUUUCAUGGUUUAUAACUCUGUUUCGUCAAAAAUGAAUAAUUAGACCUGUGAUGCAGCAGCUACAACAUUGUAAAAGAAUUCCGCUAUUAGAAGCGUAGGCCAUUGACCCAACUGUAAAACAAAGCACUUUCACAAAUCCACUUACAGAACUCACGAACCCAGGCAAUAGUCAUAUCCCCACCAUCAAACUAAACGGAGGGCCUUACACAGAAUAGAUAAAGUGCAGAAGAUGAAUCAAGUUAAAGUGAUUAGAGCAAAAAGCAACCAAGGGUAAAAGGCGGAAAGGUAGAGUCUGGACGUAUAUGAUAGUCGAAAAUGCGAGGAGGCUGGAAUUGGGCGGUGAAACAAUUCUUCCUGUCCUUGUCGACCAUGGAGAUAUCAAAUUCGAAUUGAAAUGGUAUGGCAGCACCUUGUAUAGUAUAAAUCAUCACAAGCCUAGUUUCUUUAUACUCUUCAUGAGCAGGUUUUCUGAUACGGGUGUUGACAAGGCACAUAUUGUUUCCCCCUAGAUGGAGCAAAUGACAGUCACCCGGCCGUUGAGGGAGCGCAGCAGCUGGCAGAUUCAUCUCCAUUAUUUCACUGAUAUCUUCCUGGUUUUCAUCCAAGGACAUAAGAUGAACUACUAGACUAUUCCGGAAAAAGCCACCAGCUUUAACCGAAAAGAGCAACUUUUUGUUACUGUGUUCUGGCUGCGGCAAGUCCACCACUAGAGCUUGGCCUGUAAACGGGAAAGGGCCGCCUUGGCACAUGCUGGGGACUCUCCUCCAUUCUGGGUCACUGGCCGCAAGGUCAAAGCAGCGAAUUGAAGGGUCCUGUUUAAGGUAGUUGCGGUAGUAGUUUUCUUCGCCCUCUGGCACUGGGCUAGACAUGAACAAUUUGGUUCCGGAUAUUGCAUAAGAGUAGAGGAGGCCAUAAUUAGGAUAUUUUGGCAGACGUGACCAAGUACCCUGUUGGGGGUCAAAUACCUCAAUGAAACGUAAGUGUUAUACUCCUUAAGGGACAGUACAUAGAGUUUGCCGGCAAACUCAGUCAUCAACGGUUUAUGCUUCCCUCCGUUCAAAGCGGGCAUCUUGACUAUUCCUUGGUUGGGGUCAUGGACAUCAAAGGCAUAUGCGUCUGUGGUGGCAAGAGGGCCGAAUGGGAAUCCGAAAACCGGAUCGGAGUUGGGUUUCAAUCCGCUGGCGAAAACAAUCUUGGAGCCCAAAACACCGCAACCCCCUUCAAAUGGGAGAUCAUCGUCGACCAGAUUCGCCACUUGUCUUGAUUCUAAUUUCACCGACGACGACGACGACAGCAAAUCGGAAAGAUUGAUGGAACGAACAACAUAAGAAAACUCCCCAGGCUCAUACCCCGCAGGAGGGAUGGACUUUCUGUGAGUUUCAAAGCUACAAAUGAAUAGAUACUUCUCAUGCUCUUCACCGUAGCUUUCUGGGUUCAACGAUUUUUCGGACAUAGUGUUUCUCUGUUUGCUCUCAAGCUUUGAGUUUGAGGCUUAGGUUUUCGGCUUUUGGCAGUUUAUAUACAAACAUGUUUCUUCUUCAUCACACGGUUGGAUUUACGUUUCCUAAUAACAAUUGGAUCAGAGGUCCUAAUUAUUAUUGGAUUUGGAUUGGAAUCCAGCAGAUAGUUGGGCUCGAACGAAAACUCGGCCCAGUUGCUUUAUAACUAUUCCCCGUCCUUUUUUCUUAAAUUAAUACAUAACGACCGGCUCUACUCUGUAUAUCAUGAAGAGUCAUGGCCUAAGUUUACAGAUAGGUCUAGCUGCAGUUCGGUUGCCAACCCUUUUCAUCUCAACUGAUGUCGACCUAAAGGUAGAUAGUAUACGAAAACUAGAUCGAAGCGGCCAAAAUUUUCAUUUCAUCUUCACAAUUCCUCAACAUCAAAACAAUCUACUUUAUUCCUCAAUUACUAAACGUAGGCAAACCAAAAGCCACAAAGCCAUUAUGAAUUUCCAACCCACAAUCAUACAAAUCGAAUUAAAAAUGAAACUCCCACAUAAUCACACUGAGGUGUACCAGUGCUUGGUCUCUUACUAGGCUUUAUGCAUUUUUCAGGCCUUUAUUGCGAAGAAAUAACCCCUUUUUCUGCAUAUGUAAAAAUAGAAUAGUGUUAGUCCUCUAACUUAUUCUGCCAGUUGAAAUUAAAAUCAUUAUUAAGGAAAAAAAAAACUAUGCUCGUGACAAUCAGACAAUUUUCUUUUUUCGACGCUAGAUAAUACAUUCUUGAACUCAAAUGUUUCAUAAUUUUAAGAAAUUAAAAAUAACAAUCUCUCACAAUCCAAGUAUCUAAGCUAGGUAAAGCUAGGAUCGGUUUGUGUUUUUACCCGGCUUGGCCUUUAUUACUUUAUUCACAACUUUAUUCACACAACAAAAUUUCUUGCUCAUGUGAAAUCAACUUUUCUUGCUCAUUACAUGAUAAUACGCUCUUCACACCUUUAUUGCAUUUGUUGUAUUUGAUUGUUCCAUGAUAUGACUUUUACUUAUACAUAGUCACUCAUAAGUCAGUUAAAAUAAAAUGAAUUGUGUAGAGCUAAUAUAUGUAUAUGAGAUGUUGGAGGCAAUUAAAAAUUAUUCACUGCAUUUAUGAUUAGAGACUUAUCACCAUAUUUGUCUUUCAGCAUAUUCCUUUGGACCUUGAUGUUUCGUUUAUGAUUAGAGACUUAUCACCAUAUUCAUCCUUCAGCAUAUUCCUUUGGACCUUGAUGUUUCGUUUAAAUCAAAUUUGCAGGUUACCAAGACAAUUAGUACGUACUAGGGAUGAGAAUGAGUAACCAUUUAUUUAUGAUGUACUAGGAAAUCAAUGCAAUUGCUCAUUUGCUCUUGCUUAUAUGUGAUGUUGAUCAUUUCUAUUAAAAAAAAAAAGUGAUGUUGAAAGUAAUUACAUGUAAAAGUAACUUAUAACAACUAUCUCUCUCAUACUUGGGACCAAGCCCCAAAAAACACCCUAGUCUGACUACAACAAAUCUAGCCAACAUAUACCUAAGGCUAUGAUCGUUUCGCGGAAUCAAGGCAUAAGGCCAUGUUUGUUUGGAUGCAGUAGGAAAUAAACUGGAAAAGAAAAUGGCGGGACGUGGAUACACUUCUGCUUUACCGACCAAAAAUCGUCGACAGAAGUCAGUCAAUACUACAUUUCGUCGUCUUUUCUUUUGUAAACCAAGCUGCCUCAAGCCCAAAUAUAACAGCCCAACCAAGCUUUUUUCUAGGGUUUUGCUUGCAGACAACUCCUAGAUGAGGUCGCCUCCAGGUGAGCGAAAAAGCUUCAUCUUCCGAUUCUCGACUUCGGCACAGUCAAAGUGCGUGAUGAUAGGACUCAGAUCCUCUCCUCGUAAUUGUCUGCUAAUAUUGCCUCAAAAAUGAAUCUGGACCAUACAAUCGUAAUGGAUGGCCAGGAUUUCUCUAGAAUUUUACAGGGGACCUCAAGAAUUUUACCACCUGCCACGUCAUGGACGAGUGUGACCGUAAAAUGUUAAUAGGGUAAAACGACUCCCAAAUUCAAUUCCUCUCUCUCAAUUUAUCAUCGGCCGCGACGAGAGCUCCAUAGGAUUCGGGGCAAUCGGCUGGGGGUAGUUGCGGAAUUUCCAGUGCUUCAUCUCCGGCGCCGGAAUGCCAAGUGGGUAAGUUGGACUCCUCUUGCUAGUUACUUUACUGUUCAAUUGGUACUGGUAAACUUGGUAGCAGUAGAAGAUAUGCAGUGACUAAUAAUUGGAUACAGUUAGUCUUUGCUCAAUGGAUACAUAGCUCCUAAGAUUGCCAAGUUAGUGAUUGGAGCUAUAGAGCAAAUGGGGACGUGUGUUUCUUUGCUAUUACGUUGAUAUGAUACAUAGGGAGAGCUGGUAGUUCUAGUUAUUGCGUGGAUUGAACACCCUUUUCCGAAUUCAGCUGACGGAUCAUGUUAGUUUUUGUAAGAAAUUCGAAACAGCAAAGAGCAGAAAUUGUAUGUAGAUAUAUGUUCGGGCAGGUAUACCUUUCGUCUCUAAAUUGUAUGCAGAAAUUGUUUGGACUUGGGGAGCAUGGUGAUGCUGUAUCUCGUCAACUGAUUCUUACAAAAGUUUCAGUGGCUGAAAGACGGCCAGAGGACUAUGAAGUAAGCUGAUGAACUUACUAAAACAUAUAUCAUUGGCUUGUUGUCUUAUGCAUGCAUCAUAGAUUACACAUUGAUCAGGAAUCUCGGAAUUGGAUCAUGUUUUGUGAUUGUUGCUGUUGUUGUUAACCACCCGAACUACAGCUAGCACCCCACAACCCUAAAGAAUUAUGUCCUUUUUCCCUUUACCAAAAACUGAUGGAUUUUCUUUGAAUGUUGUUAUUUAAAUUUUUUUGUUCUCGAUGCAUGUUAGAUGUGUAAUGAAUAUAUCAAAGGAAAAGAGUAAAGUUCAAUUCUUUCUUAAAUCCCCUUGUGGUUUUACUUGUACAUAAAUCUGAGUGAUAUUUUGUGGAUUUUUUUCAAAUGUUGAGAAUAGUCACUAUAUGUUUGCAGGCUGUUAUGGUUCGACCCUUAUCUGCAGUAAAUGCCCUUGUUCGGUUUACUGGGGAGCCCCAGAUGUUUGCAAUUGAGUUCAAUGAUGGAUGCCCCAUCCAUGUGAGCACUUGUUACACUUUAACUUUUAAUUUUUGGUUUCUUUCAGGGACAUGCUUCUGAUGUUUGUGAUGUAUCUUGUAGGUAUAUAUACAAGCACCUCUGGUGAUAGCUUACUUGGGGCAGUUCGUGAUUUGUUGCAAACAGAAGUAGGUAGAUGUGUUCUCUUGUGGGUAUUGAAAAAGUUUACCCAGCACGUUUUGCCAUAACUUUCCACUUUAUGCUGUUUGGCUGACAUCUGGUUAUAACUUGUGCAGGGUCAAUAUGCUGUGACUGUGUUACCAAGACUGACGAUGCCUGGCCAUCGCAUUGUUCCACCUUGGGGCAGAGUUAAUUUACAAUUUGAAAUUCAACGGCCUAUUGCAGAUAUGGAGAUCGCAUCCAUGCAUUUGAAGCACUUAGCAGCAGCUGCCAAAGAUGCAGUUGCUGAAGGUGGUUCCGUUCCGGGAUCAAUGCGAUGAAUAAGAGAGUUCAAUGCAUGUAUACCGUAUAAUGGUGUCCCUCCUAACAUAGAAGUACCUGAGGUGACGUUGAUGGCUUUAAUAACAAUGCUUCGGCUACGCCAAAUCUUCCUCCAGAGUCCCCUCCUUUGCCACCCCCUUCUCCUAAAGCAGCUGCAACAGUCAUGGGAUUUAUUGCUUGCUUACGUAGAUUAUUAGCUUCAAGAACUGCUGCUUCACAUGUCAUGUCUUGCUUACUCCGAGAUGGUUCAGAGGGUGUAGCUGCUGAAGCUGCAUUGCAGUUCUUAUUGGUGGUGGCCCUGGGGAUACAAAUAUAUUGACAGAUUCUAAAGGUGAGCAGCAUGCCACAAUCAUGCACACAAAGUCAGUGUUGUUUGCUCAACAAGGUUACGCCAUUAUACUUGCCAAUAGACUGAACCCUGUGUCUGUAUCACCACUAUUAUCAAUGGCUGUUGUUGAGGUUCUUGAGGCAAAAAUAUGUGAUCCACAUGGUGAGACAACACAAUACCCAGUGUAUGUUGAACUAUUACACCAAGUAGCUGGUUUGAAGCGUCGUCUGUUUGCGUUGUUUGGACAUCCUACUGAGAGUGUUCGGAAAACAGUGGCUGUGAUUAUGCGUACAAUUGCUGAAGAAGAUGCAAUUGUAGCAGAGUCCAUGUGUGAUGCUGCAUUGUGUGAUGGUGCUUUCUUGAGGCAUUUAUUGCAUGCAUUUUUCCUUCCAGCUGGUAAGCGACGUGAGGUUAGUCGACAGCUUGUUGCUCUUUGGGCAGAUUCUUAUCAACCCGCUCUAGAUUUAUUGUCUUAGAGUUUUGCCUCCUGGACUUGUUGCUUAUUUGCACACAAAAUCUGAUGGAGUUCUAUCAGAAGAUUCUAAUCAAGAAGUUUCCUUGACCAGUAGAAGACAGAGACGCUUACUUCAACAGAGGUGAGGUUGUACCGAAGUAUGAGCAACGUCCCAGGCCUUGCCUUCUGCAAAAAAUUAUGACGUGAAUGACCCCAUGACACAAACAAGUAGUGAUGUCUCAAAAGUGUCCAAUAACUAUCAAAGAUCUGCAAUGGAUCCAAAUUCUGGACAGGCUUCGACCAUUCAAUUUUCUGGUGCUCAGACUGGUGAAAACUUGACUGGGGAAGUAUCUUCUACUGGGGAUCUACAAAGCAAUUAUACAUCUUCUCUGGCUUCAGCUGAUGCUCAGUCAACAGGUGGUCAUGCUUCAUUGGCAGGAAAUACUGCAAUCUCAACAGAUUCUCAGCAAAUAUCCAAUCUCACAGAAUUCGGGUCUCCCUUCCCCUGCUCAGGUUGUUGUAGAAAACACUCCUGUGGGAUCUGGCAGGCUUCUGCGUAAUUGGCCUGAAUUCUGGCGAGCAUUAGCCUUGAUCAUAAUUGUGCAGAUUUGAUCUAGAAUCAGCGUACCAAGCAAGAGUUAAGGGAGGCCUUGCAGGCUGAGUUUGGCUCACACUGUAUUUUUAUUUUUAUAUGCUCAGCAUUUUAGUAUUUUUAGUGAGCAACUGCUUUUGAAUUUACUGGAAAGCCUUCCACAUUCACAAUCUUUUUUCACUUUUGAAAAAAUAUGAAGUUCCUUUUAGUAAAUCAACACCACCAUAUACAGUUUGAUUGCUGCUACUGCCUUCAAGGAAUGGAUGUGUUUUUGACAAGGAAGGAGCACAGGUUGGUCCUGUUGAAAAGGAUGCCAUAAGAAGAUUUUGGUUCAAGAAGGCAAUUGCUGGGAUGCUAGACCGGAAGAGACCACAUGAUAUUCGUGUUCGAGUUCCUGUUGUAACGCCAGCUCAGGUCAGUUAUAACAAGCGUGGAACUUAAAUCUCAUCUACUAUGUAUUUCAUUUUUCAUUUGCUGUGGUUUUUCUCUGCAUUGUGAGAAUUUUGCCAGUGUCUUGACGGAAGAUUUGAGUUCUAGAUCAGUUUGAUUGAAAGAACCUUAAGUGUUACCGGCAUAUGCUAUCUAAUUUCGGGUGAAUUGAUUCCUUUUUUCUUGGAGAUUACAUAAGAUACUUGAAAAAUAAUACAGAACAAUCAGACGAGGGAAAUAACAUUAUCAUUGACUGAAACAUGAACAAUACAAAUACAGAAUAUAAAUACAGAAAACAGUUUCCAGGAUGCACGAUAGGUUAUGAUCAUCAGCAAUGCACCAAACAAAUUACAGCACAAAGCAACCAUCAGUUCGAGGACAAGCAUAAGUGGAUGGGCUGGUAUAGAAUUCGAAGAUACGAGUAGGCAUGAACUGGAGAGUCAAACAAUUCUUAGUGUCCUUGUCGAUUUUGGUGAUAUCAACUUCAAACUGAAAUGGAAUGACAACACCCCGCGUCUUAUGACUCCCAAUUUCAUCUUCAUAUUCAGGUGCUAGUUCCCCCCGGAGAGUCAUUUCAGGGGAAACAAGGCAGGCUUUCUGGCCUCCUAUAUGGACGAUGUACCAUAUGUUUGCAAAUUCAAAUUCCUCAGGCAACAUUGGCAGCUUCAAAUCAGCAAUUCGAGUGAUAGACUCUUGAUUUUCAUCCAAGCACAUAAUAUAAACUACUAGAUACCAACGAUCAUUCGUGUAACCAAACAUUAUCUUCCUGUUAUUGUUAUGGUCACCAGGGAGGUCCAGGACCAGAGCUCUGUUAACAAAAGGAAAAGGGCCGCGUUCGCACAUGGAACGGACUAACCUCCAUUCUCUGUCUGGGUGAGCUACAUCGAAGCAAUAUACAGGAAAUCUACCCUGAGACACAAACAUCUUGGUGCCAGUUAUUGCAUAAGACAAGGGGCAAUUGCGCUGAUACGGACCAUCUCGUCGGAAGAAUGGAGGCUGUGGCAGAGCAGACCAAGUCCCCAUUUCGGGAUCGAAUACCUCAAAUGCGGGAUCCGAGACCCGCUCAUACGAAAGUGCAUACAGUUUGCCUCCCACCUCUAUCAUCACAGGAAAAUACUUGGCUUGAAGCAAUUGGGCAUCCAUCUUCUGGAUUACAGAGCUGCUAUCACCAGGAGGCUGCUUGUCGGGGUCAGUUUCGAAGACGUAAACAUCUCUUUGCCAAGUAUGGUUUGGAUCGGACCAGAGGGGGGGCCUCUUGCCGCCGGCGAAAACCAUUUGGGAGCCCACCACACCGCAACUUAUAAAACCGGGGAGUUCGUCCCCGGUCUUAUAAGCGACCUGCCGUAAUUGCAAAUUAUCAACCGAAUCCGACGACAACAGAUCGGACAAUUUGAUGGAACGGACAACAUAAGUGAUCCGGUCUCCGUCUCUAGCGUCGUGUUCUUCGUCGAAACAAAUGUACAGUGUCUUGUUAUCCUCCGACUCAUUUAGCUUCAACUUCUUACUCCUCUUCUUCUUCUUCUUCUUGUCCUUCUUCUUCUUCUUCUUCUUGUCAGACUUAAGCGGUGGUUGACGGCGGUGACCACCAUCAUCGGUGGCUUUGUUGGCUUUUAGGUUAAGAGUGUUUUUGGGAGACAUGAACUCCAAACAGUUCAGUUUGCUUUCGGUGUUGUUGGGCCCGUUCUUUGUUUAUUUAUAGGGAGGAAGCCUUGUUUCCCUGUCUCGCUGGGUAUUGGACUUUACUCCUUCUCUGGUUAGAAAUAGGAUCCACAACUGGGCCUAAUCUGAUCAUGAGCCAGCCCAACUCCACUCCACAAGUCGUUUUGAGGCUAUAAUUAGAUUCGACCUGGAAUGGUAUGAAUCGGAGGGUGAAGCAAUAUUUUUUGUCCUUGUCCAGCUUAGUGUAUCAACUUCAAACUGGAAUGGUAUGGCAACCCCCAAUUUCUUAUGAGACCCGAGCUCCAAUUCGUAUCCUCCUUCAUCAUCACAGGGGAGCUCCAAUUCGGGGAUAACAAUGCAGGCUUUCCGACCUCCUAUGUGGACAAAUCACAGCUUGUUGCUUCACCCAAUUCAUAAGGCAACCGCGGCAGCUUCAAGUCACCGAUCCUUGUGAUAGACUCUUGUUUUUCUCACAAUGACAUGACAUAAACUCCUAGACACCAACGAUCGUGACUAUAGGCGAACACUAUCUUCUUGUCAGGCUGCGGCAGGUCCAGGACCAAAGACUUAUCAGCAAAUGGGAAAGGGUCGCCUUGACACAUUGUAGGGACUAGUCUCCAUUCUCUAUCCGGGUGCAGGCAUUGUAUCCAAGUACAUCGAUGUGAUCAACACUGUGUCAAGGUCAAUCCGUGUGCAGGCAUUAUAUGGAUCAACUGCUACUUUGCCUUCGACCGCGAUUGCCCUUAUGGAGGAUACAAAAUGAGUGGAUUUAAAAGAGACUGUGGUAUGCAGGGCCUCCACAAGUACAUGCAUACUAAAUCUGUGGUCACUCCAGAAUCCUUUACCAAAGGAAUGUUAAUAGUCAGUAAUUUCAGUGCAGAGUAAAUUAUUGUGUUGAAGUUCUUUGUUUAUUUAUGUGGGAAAUGUCAAAAAGAUUGUAUUUGUUGUUGCGGUAUACAAAUCUCUAUUUUAUCGAUCGACACCUGCAAAGGAUCAUUGUUAGAUAUGGAAAUACCUGUAUAUAUAUCUGCCAGAGAGUAAUUCACUUGGGACAUUAAUUUGUAGGCUUCUUGCAGUGUCAUUUCAUCAAAACAUGUCACGGACAGAAACACAUAUUGCCGAAUGAAAUCAGAAUCAAUUAUGGAAGGUGAAGUGAUGUGUAAGACUUAAUAUCUACAUCUAAGGAACACAUAUUAAGUGUAAUAACUUGCCGGUUCUUCCUCUUCUCCAUCUCCUCAUGCAUGCUCAGACCAUUUGUAUCUACAGUUUUGGCGAUAGCAGUAGGUAAUUUCAGUCCGGCAGCAUCGGCCGAACCGCUAAGGUUCACUUGUUGAAAUCACCUUGCUUGCAAGCUUGACUUGGAACAGGAUAUCAGACUUGGCUAAUUGCGCCAAUGCUCAGUAUAGACAGCGAGAUACAGAUCUUUUAACAUUACACGGCCAACUUUGAGCUACACUGGAAAGAGACAUCAUCGUUCCUCUAGAUUUAGAGGCCCUGGAUGUCGAAUCUAAUUAUAGCCUCAAACUUUGAACCCUAUGAUUUUAUUUAUCACCUCCUUUAUAACAGAAGAUGUGGUAAAAAGAACUCACAAAGCACAACAAUCAAUAUCACUAAUACAACCAUAGACUUCUUCAAGUCUGCAUUAUUUUUCUCCAACUAUUACAUUUAAACUUGGGUGCAUGUACUUGUUUUUUCUAUCUAUGAAAAGAAAAUUAAAGAGCCAUACAUAUUGCUUGAUGUAAGAAGGCACUUGCACUGCACACCAGAUGGCAUCAGGAGAACUGGUGACCCUCACUGUUGACUGCUUCUGCUAGUCCCUCUUCUUUAAGUCAGUCUGCUCCGUUUAGCUGAUCAGGAAUAUGAAUAAAAUCAACCACUGUAUACGAAAGCCUUCAAAGUUCCGAUCAACCUCAAAUAGGUCCACUGUUAAAUAUCUGUAAGAUAGACAACCAUAUUGUGCAUUAGAUAUAGCCUUAGAUAUACAAACUACCUGACAGCGCAUAAGACUUGAAAAAUCAGGCGAGGGAAAUAACGUUAUCAUUGACUGAAACAUGUAUCCGUUAAGGAGCGCAAACAAUACAAAUACUGAAUUUAAAUACAGAAAAGAAAGAGAGAAAGAAAACAAAAAACAGUUUCCAGGAUGCACGAUAGUCAAUCAACACAUUAUGAUCAUCAGCAAUGCAACAAACUGGUUACAGCACAAAGCAACCAUGAGCUCGAGGACUAGGAAAAGUGGAUGGGUUGGUACAGAAUUCGAAGAUGCGAGUAGGCAUGAACUGGAGAGUCAAACAAUUCUUGGCGUCCUUGUCGAUCUUGGUGAUAUCAACUUCAAAUCGAAACGGAAUGGCAACACCCCUUGUCUUAUGACUCCCAACUUGAUUAAAUUUAGGUAAUUGUUCCUCUGGGGGACACAUUGAGGGGGCAACGAGGCAGGCUUUCUGACCUCCUAUAUGGAGGAGGAAACAUCUCUUUGCAAAUUUAAACUCCUCAGGCAACCUUGGCAGCUUCAAGUCAGCAAUUUGUGUGAGAGAUUCUCGAUUUUUAUCCAAAAACAUAAUAUAAGCUCCUAGAUUCCAACAACGAGUACCGCCAUAGGCAAACAUUAACUUCUUGUUAUUGUUGUUGUCACCGGGGAGGUCCAGGACCAGAGCUCCGCUAACAAAAGGGAAAGGGCCGCGUUGGCACAUGGAAUGGACUAACCUCCAUUCUCUGCGAGGGUGAGCUACGUCGAAGCAGAAGACAGGACAUCUACUCUGAGACACAAACAUCUUGGUGCCAGUAACUGCAUAGGACAAGGUGCCACCGCGGUGAUACUGACCAUUUUGUUGGAAGAAUGGAGGCUCCGGUAAAGCAGACCAAGUCCCUAUUGUGGGAUCGAAAACCUCGAAGGAGGGAGGAUCAGAUACCGUAUCAUACGAAAGUGCAUACAGUUUGCCACCCAACUCCACCAUCACGGGAACAUGUUUGCCUUGAACCAAUUUGGCAUCCAUCUUCUGAAUCACAGAAGUAUCACUAGGCUGCUUGUUGGGUCAGUUUCAUAGACAUAGACAUCUCUAUGCCAAACAGGGUUGGGGAGGCGUGCAGCGAAAAGGCGGGCGGCAGGUGUGACGCCGGCGGCGAAAACGAUUUGGGAGCCCAACACACCGCAACCCACAAGAGAGGGGAGUUCUUCAUCCCCAUCCCCGGCGGCCUUGUAAGCUACCUGCUGUAAUUGCAAACCAUCAACCGAAUCUGAUGACAACAAAUCGGACAAUUUGAUGGAACGAACAACGUAAGAGACGCGCCUUUCAGGGUGGUAUUCGAUGUGGCAUAUGUACAGAGACUUAUUAGCCUCCGACUCUUUCAACUUCAACUUCUUACUUCUCUUCUUCUUCGCCUUACGCGGUGGUUCACGGCAGCGUCUAAGCCGGUGACCAUCGUUGAGUGUGUUUUUGGGAGACAUGGUUAGUUGGUUUAGCGCUCUCUCUUUAAUUUGUGUAUUUAUACUUUUAUAGGGAGGAACCCCAACCUCCCGAUCUCGCUGGGUUUUGGAUUUCCUCUUUGAAAUAGGAUUCAUAAAUGGGCCUUAUCUGGUUACGAGGUCGAACUCAUUAUUCCUCAUCUCACACCAAAAUUAUCGCACCCCGAGUUUGGGCUUGACAAAUUUAAAAUGAGCCAUGUGAUCCGGCACACAGAUUGUUUUAUUUAUUUUGCCUUUUCCAAUCUGUAUAUAUUAAGCGAAACGGGGGGAUUACUGUUCACGGAACAGUGUCUUCGCCCCUUAAGAUGGAGCCACGUACAGCUACAAUCGAAGGCCCAAAACCCACCACGUAUAUGUCAACUUUACGUUUGUUUUCCCUGGUUUCUCACUUCCAGCUUUCCACCAUCUCUUUUUCUCUCGAUUCUACCCGAACAACUCAAGAAAAGUUUGGGCUGUUGCAAAAGUUCCUCUCUCUGCAAAAGUUUUUCGUUCUGCAAAAGUUCUUCUCUCUGGAAAACUCACUCAGUUGGUGUGUUGGACUUUUGGGUUUUCUCCUUCAUCUCUCUGCAAAAGUUCUUCUCCGGCCAUAUCCAUAUUUGGUUUUUGGUGUAGUCUCAUUUUAGCUUUGGGAUAUAACCACGCACGUGCGAAGCGCGGGUGUCAAAGCUAGUAUUUAUUAUUUUAAGACCCAUGCCAUGAAUGAUUCAAACGAGAUAUCUGAUAAUUUCCAACAAGCUGUUUUUUGAAAGGGUAGGAGCUUUCAAGAUACCAAAUGUUAUAACAAAAUGGGAAAAUUGUCCAAACAUUGUCUUACUUUUUAGAGAAGCAAAACUUUUAGAGAAACAAAACUUUGAUAUCUCAUCUUCAGAAAACUUCAAAACAGUAUCUCAUGUUCUUACCUCGACUGAAGUUUGGUAUCUAGAACCGUUAGCUCCGUUAAAAAAAUUGAUGACAACCAUUUUUAUUCUUAAAGUGACCAAUUUACUCUGAGUUUUUAUUUUUGUUAUCAUUUUAUUAUAAUAAAAAAAAAUUCGUCAUACUGAUACCUCAUCUUUUCUUCAUUAUAAAUUUUGGUACUUCAUGGCUGCUUAAGAUAGACAACCAUAUUGUGCAUUAGAUAUACAAACUACCUGACAGCGCAUAAGAUACUUGAAAAUUCAGGCGAGGGAAAUAACGUUAUCAUUGACUGAAACAUGUAUCCGUUAAGGAGCACAAACAGUACCAAUACUGAAUAAAACAAACAUAUUACAGCACAAAGCAACCAUCAGCUCGAGGACUAGGAAAAGUGGAUGGGUUGGUACAGAAUUCGAAGAUACGAGUAGGCAUGAACUGAAGAGUCAAACAAUUCUUGGCGUCCUUGUCGAUCUUGGUGAUAUCAACUUCAAAUCGAAACGGAAUGGCAACACCCUUGUCUUAUGACUCCCAACCUGAGUAUGAUAUUUAGGUACUCGUUCUUCUGGGAGAUUCAUUUCAGGGGCAACAAGGCAGGCUUUCUGACCUCCUAUAUGGAGGAUGUACCCUCUUUUUGCAGAUUCAAAUUCCUCAGGCAACAUUGGCAGCUUCAAAUCAGCAAUUCGAGUGAUAGAUUCAUGAUUUUCAUCCAAGAACAUAAUAUAAACUCCUAGAUACCAACGACCAAAACCGUAGGCAAACAUUAUCUUCUUGUUAUCGUCACCAGGCAGGUCCAGGACCAGAGCUCUGCCCUUAAAAGGAAAAGGGCCGCGUUGGCACAUGGAACGGACUAACCUCCAUUCUCUGUGAGGGUGAGCUACAUCGAAGCAGCAGACAGGACCUGUUAUCUGAGACAUAAACAUCUUGGUGCCAGUAACUGCAUAAGACAAGGGGGAAUGACGAAUUCGCUCCAAGAAUGGAGGCUGUGGCAGAGCAGACCAAGUCCCCAUUUCGGGAUCGAAUACCUCAAAUGAGGGAGGAUCCGAGAUCGGCUUAUACGAAAGUGCAUACAGUUUGCCUCCCACCUCCAUCAUCGUAGGAAGAUACUUGGCUUGGAGCAAUUUGGCAUCCAUCUUCCGGAUUACACUAGGAGGCUGCUUGUCGGGCUCAGUUUCGAAGACAUACACAUCUCUAUGCCAAGUAGGGUUUGGAUGGGAAACGAAGAUGGGUUUUAUGCCGCCGGCGAAAACAAUUUGGGAGCCCAACACACCGCAACCCACAAAACCGGGGAGUUCAUCAUCUCCGGCCUUAUAACCGACCUGCCGUAAUUGCAAAUGAUCAACCGAAUCCGACGACAACAAAUCGGACAGUUUGAUGGAACGGACAACAUAAGAAACCCGAUCUCCAGGGUGGCGUUCGAUGUGACAUAUGUACAGUGAUUUAUUGGCCUCCGACUCCUUCAGCUUCAACUUCAACUUCUUACUUCUCUUCUUCUUCUUCUUCUUCUUCUUGUCAGACUUACGCGGCGGUGAUUCACGGCAGCGUCGAAGCCGGUGACCACCAUCGCUGGCUUUGUUGAGUGUGGUUUUGGGAGACAUGGAACACCAAACUGUUUCCUUUCGGUGUUGUUGGCCCCUUUUCUUGUCAAUUUAUAGGGAGGAAGCCUUAUCUCCCUGGGUAUUGGACUCUACUCCUUCUCUGGUUCGAAAUAGGAUCCAUAACUGGGCCUAAUCUGAUGAUGAGCGGGCCAACUGAGGUAGCCCAUGUUUACAUCACAUUGACAUACAUGUUCAGCUAGCUAUCCUUCAUUUUCAAUAACCAAAAAAAAGGUAAAACAAUUUCAACCAUACAAAAUGAAGUUUGAUUUAUAUACAAUGAUUGUUGAAUACAUGAUGAAUUUGUUUCAAUGAUCAUUUUAUGGUCCUAAAGCUAUAGAUUGCACAACCAAUCACUUCACCAGUAUAGUACAUGCUCACUCUCUAAAAGUUGUUAAAACUCUAAUUCAGCUUUUAACACCUCUUGAUUUCAACCUCUUCACUGCGAGAAGUAAAAAAACCAUGCGUUAGUCAUCACAAUGUACACAGACUGUUUCUUCAAUGUAAAAAGAAAAUGUCACGAUUCAAGGACAUAUGGCAAACAAUGUCGUACCGAUAAAAAUAGAUAGCACACAGCUCAACUUUGUUAAUGCUUGAAAUCAUAUUCUGCUAAAUAACAUAACCUCCUUAUAAGGUGCGAUCUAAGGGUUGAAUUGCUCAUAGUCUAUUUUUGUGAUUUGCUCAAGAUGCCAGAUAACAUACCAUAUAACAGAGUACUGCCCGUCUUCCUUAUUUAUUCUUUAAUAAAGGGUCAUCCUUGAGACCAGAUGAAUUGACACGUCACUACAGGGAACUGGUGCAAUCCUAGCUCCCCUAUGAUGACAACUUACCCUAUCCCGUAACGGGGUAAAACUAUAACAAGAAACCUAAAGUCCGACCAGCCGUAGGACCAUACUAAACUUGAGACUAUUCACAGUUAAAGAUGAGAAGUAAACUAUCAAUCAUUCAUGCUCAGGACUGACUACAGAAGAGAAAAGAGCUCACCCUAUGGAUGCAAUAGACAGAGGAAAGGAUAUAGAGUAGAAAUCAACAUCUCAUACGAAAUCUACAAAGAAUUUAUUGAAUUCCAAAUUAACCACAAGAAAAGAAAGUAAAGACAAUCCUCACCUCAGGGUAACAAUCUUGACGAACAACUGUCUGAUCGUUUGUAUUCACAUACACCUCACACGAAGCUCUUCCCUGAUCAACAGUAAUGACCACAGUUAGAUAAUAUCAAAAUGAAGAAGUAAUAAACCACACCACAAUCACAAUCACAAUCACAAUCACAUCACAAACCAACUCAUCUCACCCUUACAUUUCACAUACAUUAGAUGUCAACUUAUCAGUUCGUGCUUCUACUUGUUCUAUUGUUUUUCGAUAAACAUCACACUUCCAUAGCCACAGCUAUACAUUCAUACAUGAGAAACCAUAUCAACUAGUUUUACUUUUUCUCUUUCACCAUUUCGUAUUAGCUUAGAAAGACAAUCGAAUCACCAACUCGAAUGCAGCUAAGCAAACAAAUUAUAGCACAACCAAAAGUUCACAUAUAACCAAAAUGCUUCACAAACCAAAACAGUAUCAAACCAAAAGCUUAUUUAUUAAUUGAGCUAUGAGCAGGUUUACCUUGAUCGGAAUUCUGAAGAAGAAUAGCCCAACGGUUCCAUCCACCACGGAAUCAGUAUCAAACGGAAUCUCACCCCUAGCCAAAUCCUCCAGCAAGUAAAACACGUCGUGAAUCACCUCCAGCCCAUCCACCACGAGCGUGGCGUUCACGUACGACGAGCCUCUCGCCCUCACGCGCCCGCCGUCGGAGCUCACAAACCCUAGCUCUCUCCCCCGGUACCCGAUUUUGACCACCAGCGAGUCGUACUCCAGAGAGAAGAAGUCGCGGUUACGCACCUUGAUGGUCAGCGAGAACGACGCGUCCAGAGUGAGCUUCGGCGACGAGUGCACUCCGACGUGGUUGAGCUGGAUCCGGGCGAGGCUGAGGGCCGGGUCGGACGGGAAGAGGAAAAACACGGCGGCGGAGAUGAAGAGGAACGCGGCGGUGGUGGAGACGCAGAGGCGGAAACGACGUCGUUCGAGGUAGUCGUCGCGAUAAGGGCGGUAGUGAGUUAAAACGACGACGUGUUGUUGGGGUUGGCCCGAAUCGGGGUUGGCCGGAAUCGGCGCGUAGAAUGCAGACUCGCCUUUCGAGCUCUUCAUGUUUUUCUUGGCGAGUCGUUUAAACGAUUUUGUCCAAAAGCUACGGCAUUUUAUACGUUUUUUAGAGUCUAAGGCGUGUGACGUGGCGAUAUUUUGGGUUGGUUCAUAGAGGCCCAAAACACGAGUUCUAAUUCAACUCUCUAAGGUAAAAUAGUCUGAAUUACCCCCAUGAGUUAUUUACGGAUAUGUGUUCCGAGUAGAGGUGGCAAACGGGCUGUUUAGCACGGGCACGACACGUUUAAAAGCGGCCCGGCACGGCUCAAGCCCGUUAACGGCCCGGCACAACCCGGCCCAAACAUAUUAUUCUAAUGGGUUGGGCUGGGCCCAGAAAAAUGAGCCCAUGGGCCCGGCCCGGCCCAAGCACGAUAAUAUGAGGCCCACAUCCCGGCCCGCUAUAAAAUAUAUAUAUUUUUUCCAUUUUUAAUAUAAAGAUAACAUAUUUAUAAAUAAUAAACUUAGUUUUGAGUGUGGACAAUAUACUUAUAUACUAAUAAUUAUUUAUUUGAGUAUGAAUUUGCAUUUCCUUAGACUCAUAAGAAGUUUUUGCCUAAAAAUUUAUUAAUUGUGAACAAUAAACAUUUAUCACUUAUUUCUUUAGUUUGUUAACAAAGAAAAAAAUGAUCAAUAGAUUGAGUGAAUUAAUUUUGGUUUGUAAUCGUAUCAUGUAUAAUCACAACUUUUAAUUAUGGUGGUGACUACUAUUUUCAAUUUUUAACUAUAGGACAUUCACCUCGAUCAUUUUCAAUUUUCGACACGAAACGGGCUUGACACGGCCCGUUCAUGGGCUCGGGCCGGCCCGGCCCAAGCACGGCCCAUCACGUUAUGGGCUUGGGUCGUGGGUCAGGCUGGGCCUUACAUUUGAGUAAAUGGGCCGGCCCGAGCCCGAGCCCUUUAAGAAGUAUCCCAUUGUGGGCCGGCCCAAGCACGGCUCGAAACCUGAUUAGAUGGGCCUGCCAGUUUGCCACCUCUAGUUUCGAGUUCCGACAUAUCGAACGAGUAUCGGAUCGUAUCCUGCUGUAUUAUGCCGUAUUCGAGUACAAAUUCUGAGGUAUAGUUUGGUAUUACUGUGACUUUAAAAAAAAAAAUCUGAUUAUGCUAUACAGCGAAAAUAAUUAGCUGUGAAUUAAAAUGAUUUUGUGUUUGGUAAAUAUUAGUUUUAAAAUUGCUACAAAAUCAAAAUAUAUUAAUUUCUAGUGUUUUUACGACAGCUGCUUCUAAAAUUAACCUUCAGGUUGUUUCUAAAAGCUGCUGCUAGUGACCUGUAAAAACUGUUUUUCUUUGAUUUACUAAACACUAUAAAAUUUAAAAGUUAGGAUAGAAACUGAUUUUUUUUUUAAAUAAAACUAUACCAAACGGGGCCCGAAUCCACAAAGCCGGAAAUGACGGUAAAUUGCCUGAAACGGCCCGAUACGUCCGGAUAUGUAUUUAUAAAUAAUAAAAUACGUGGGGGCAGUUUAGAUUAUACGUACUGGUGUUAGCAUCGGUUGCGAAAUCUGGGCCGUUGAGCUAGAUCACCCGCCACGGAUAUAAAAGGCCUCCAAAAAUCCCCAAAUUCGAAACCCUAGCUUUUCACAGUGUUGCCCAGAAAAUCUGAGUGUAGUGCGGCGAUGGAGAAAGGCGAGGCGGAGGAGAAAAGGCCGAUUUUCAGAGAUAUAAGGCGGUAUUAUUGCGAGUACUGCGGAAUUUGUAGAUCCAAGAAGACUCUGAUUGCUUCUCAUAAAUUAGCUCAGCACAAGGUUUGGUUUUUUGGAGCUGAUUAAAGUUUUGAUUUUUAUGAAUUGGGUGUUUGAUUUUGAAGGAGAUAGGGUUUUGCGUCUAGAUUAGAUUUUGAAAUUGAGUUGUUUCUGGAUUUGGAUCUGGGAAUUGGGAUUUAAAGUUGGGUUCUUUGUUUUUGUAGGAUGAGAUGGAAUUGGCAAAGGGUGAUGAAGUGGAGGUGGAUAAGUCUAAUACAUGUGAAGAAUGUGGUGCCAGUUUCAAGAAGCCUGCGUAUCUGAAGCAACAUAUGUUAAGCCAUUCCCUUGAGGUAUUGUGUUGAAUUUUGAUUGUCUAUAUGGUUUCAUGAGAAUUGGGUGUUACUAUCAGUUGGGUGUUACUCUUCUUGUGUGAAAGUUUUCGAGGAAAAGUAUCGGAUUGGCAGUGAAAUCAGUGGCAUCUUGUAUGAGAGUCUGAUGAUUGAUUUCGAAAGAGCUGAGAUUAUAGUAGUGUGUUUUGUUGUUGAAGUUUUAGUAUGUUUUGCAUUGAUUGAAGAUAAGAGUUUUUGCAGGAAUCAGCUUGUUUAAGAACUAUACCGUUUGGAUCGCGUGAAGCAUUGGAUCCCACCAAAGAACUCCAAAAUGCGAGAGGGUAUGAACUUGAAUGGACCAGUACCAGGGGGGAGACCUCCUGUGAAGCUCCGUCAAGUGAUCCUCAAUCACGCAGUGUUAGUAUUAAGGUUUGAAUGCUUGUUCAUGUACUUAGUAAACUGUGGUUGUCUGUUUGUGAUUUUCUUUUGUUUGUUGUACUUUUUUUUUCUGUAUUUGUUGCAACAAUUGAAGAUGUAAAUUUUGCAGGAAUUAGAACUUCUGAAAAGUAUUGUUUUGACGGCGUGAAGCAUUGGAUCCCAAACAAAGAACUCCAAAAUGCAAGAGGGUUCAGCUUGAGUGGACUAGUACCAGGGGGGAGACCUCCUGUGAAGCUCCAUCAAGUGACCCUCAAUCACACUGUACAGCUCCAGAUUUAAAUGCUUUUUCAUGCCAACGUUUAAGUUAUGGUUUUUCGUUCAUGAAUUCACUUCAGCUCGUUCUUUACAGAGGCCAUAUGUUUGCACAAUCGAUGAUUGUCGUUCUACUUAUAGAAGAAAGGACCAUUUGAACCGUCAUCUUCUUCAGCACCAAGGAAAAAUCUUUAAGUGUCCAAUUGAGAACUGCAAGAGUGAAUUUGCUUUUCAAGGUAACGUGAAGAGGCAUGUUGUAGAAUUUCACAGUGAGGAUUGCCCUUCUACUGGCGUUGAAGGUCAGAAGCAGCAUGUGUGCCAGGAACCUGGUUGUGGAAAGGUGUUCCAAUUUGCUUCGAAGCUGCGGAAACAUGAGGAUUCUCAUGGUAGGUGUUAUUUCUGAAUUCUAUCUCUUUUAGGUUCCAUUGUCUAUGGAAUCUCUUUUUGUCUGUGGUUGUUGAAUAUGGUAAGGUGACCUAUAUAAUAAACUGAUAGUCUCAAAUGAGGAGUUGUGGUGUUGCUCAGAGUUUUUUUGUAUGUUAAUGCUAACGCUGUCUCUAUUUCUGCAGUUAAGCUGGACUCAGUGGAGGCAUUCUGCUCUGAACCGGAUUGUAUGAAAUAUUUUUCUAAUAAGCAAUGCCUUCAGGAGCAUAUUCAGUCCUGCCACACUCAUAUCGCUUGCGAGAUAUGUGGGAAGAAGGUGUGGAAAAAGAACAUCAGAAGCCAUCUCUCUACUCAUGAAGAGGGAGCCUCUUCAUUGGAAAUUAAAUGUGAAUAUGAGGGUUGUCUUCACACAUUUACUAAAGUGAGUUGCUAAGAAGACUGUGAAACUAUUUACACGUUGAUAUGCUUGAUUUGACAAGCCUUGUUUGGUUUCUUAUGUUUCGUUGUUAUAUUUGCAGAAAUCAAAUCUUCUCCGGCAUGUGAAGGCUGUACACCUCCAACAGAAACCUUACGCGUGUAGCUUCUCAGGCUGUGGCAAGACAUUCUCAUACAAGCAUGUCAGAGAUAAGCACGAGAAUUCUGGAUGUCAUGUAUACGCCUAUGUGAGUGCCAUGUUCUUGGAGCAUUCAAUACCUCUUCUGCUGGAUUCUACAUAUUUUUUAUGGAUAACACAGUUGCAGACAAUCCCCCAUUAUGAAUCUCAUGUAUGUCAUCUGUUGGUUAUUGCUUUGAAUUGCAGGGGGAUUUUGAAGAGGCUGAUGAGCAAUUCCGGUCAAGGCCAAGGGGUGGGUGUAAGAGGAUAUGUCCUACAGUGGAAAUGCUUGUGCGUAAAAGGGUUACUCCACCAGAUCAAUUUGGCCCAGAGACAGAGUUCCUCUCCCAGUUAUUCUCGCAAGAAGAAGAUGAGCGCUGAGGCGUGCUCUAGUAGAGUUAAUAACCAUGGAAGUUGGGUAUUUUGAAUCUGCAAACUAGAUAUGUAUAGCUGCCUUUUGUAAUUAUUUAGAGAGUGGAUGACAGGACUUAUCCUGGGUUCUGUAAUCUUCUGAAAAUCUGUGGUUGGUUCGGCCAAUUCAUAAUACAAGCCAGCGAAGUUUUGACACAUCUCCUUUUGCCUACCGUGUCAAGUUAGUCUCAUAUCUUCAAUCCAGAGAGAAAUAAAGCUGCACAAUUAUAAAUGAGUAGCAAAUCCUCUUUGCUGUCAUCAACCUCGUAUCGAGACAAAUAACAGUCUCUUGUCAACUACAGCCUACUCGAAAAAACCUUGCAAAGUCAGUAGGCAAUGCUCAAGAAUAACUCGUGACAGUUCACCAUCACCAUUGUAGAAGAAGGGAUCUCAUCACCAAAGCUACUCAUGACAGCUCCAAGCAAAGAUUAUAUCAGAUGUAAAAAGAACAGGAACUACGCACAAGCCGAAGAGAUACACCAAUGAUUCUAUUAGGCAGUUUUUGAAACACUGAUUUGAAGAAAGAAAAAGUAAAGUUAACGAACUAUCCUAGAACUAGAAAAUACAGUACACAAAUAUUCAACUAAAUCAUAUAAAUCCAAGGAAGCAUGACUAUGGAUGGACUGUGACACAAAUGGAAGCUGUAUGUAUCAGCACGUAACUAUGGAUCCCGACCAUGGAAUAGUAUGAAAGAUUGUUUCUAAUUUUUCUUUUGGGGCCAAUGCCUUGUGGCUACUGAUCAUCCCCACUAAAUAUCAGGGUUUUCUAUCAUUACAAGCUAUAUGCCUUCUGGCCUUACAAAACUCAUCCCAAAUACUCCAUUAUAGUCCAGAGAAAAUAGAAUUACAAGAAAAAGGAAAGACAAUAGCCAAUAUUUGUCUCUAAUUAAUACUAAAAUUUGAGGUUUAUUAAUAAAGAUCGAAGAGCUAACAGUAAUAGAACAAUAGUGAUAACACUGUUUACAUUAUUCAUGAAACUGAAUACAUUGUUCAUGAGCUAUAGCGUGUAAAUAUAUCAGACACACAUGAAACGGCUUAACUGAUGAACAAACACAGAAACUCUAUAUCUGUAUCUAUUUGGCUUAUACAAUUUAUAUAGAAGGGUGCUAAUGAUGGAGAGGAAUAGCAAGUAAUCAACACCAACUUUCUUGCAAUCAAAGUACUUCAACCUGUUGAUCUUAAUUGUUUAAGUAGAGUGAUCAAGUACUGAUGUGGGAGAAGUCUGCGAGUUAUUGGCUGCAGGCAUGGACUUUGAGCGCUUCAUCCAAGCUGAGGAUGAGCGGGAACGAUGAAACCGGCACCGGAAUGAGCCUUGAUGUGUUGUUGGUGAGCACAAGCACUGCCCUCCUGAUGAUCCUUUAGGUGAUGGUGCUUCUGCAGUGUUGCCACUUUUCGGAGAAUUGAUUGACACACUCAUUUUAUUGUUACCAUGCUCGUGGGAUGCCAUGUUUAUCUCUAAUGAAUUGAGAAGAGAAGAAGAGAAGUAUGAGCCAGGAGAAGCUUUACUGUGGUGCAGUACUUAUUGGCAAGGCUAGCGUGGUGUGAAUGAAUGUAUAUAUAGGAGAAUAUAUCUAUAAUUUGACAAAGAAAAAAAGAGUUAUAUCUUCAAAGUUUGUGAGGCCAGAACAAGUUAAAAAACCAAUCAGUUGUACGUGUUCUUUGCUUGCUAGCUAUCUCCUCUCUUAAUUUGUCAUUUUGUCCCCGAUUUCUAUGUUUAGUGUAAGUCGGUUUUACACUCGAAUUAGCAUUUGGGUUAGUAAGAAAACAAUAUCAAUCAAAGAGUUUCACUCUGAACAACCUUGUCAGAUUGCAAUACAUCAAUAGAGAAUUGGCCUUGAAAGACAUUCUCAUGGAUAAGAUGUUUGUAAAAAUGCUUGAAAAUCUCUAAAUAUGAACUAUGCUGAAAGAGAUGCUCACAAAGUAAUGGAGAAAUUGUGCUGAAAUAGAUCAAAACAAUGACAAGGGCAUCUUGAGGCGUGGGAUUGUAGAUGAGGUUUCCAUGUGGAAUGAGGUAAGCUUUAUACAUCAGAUAGACAGAUAGUCCAUA